rnacentral:lncRNA from 1 species
GCAACCCAAAAUAAAUAUAUACAGAAAUCCCUUCCAGAACUUGGAAGUCACUAGUACAGAGCUAUCUAAUAAAGAGUACAAGUCCCAAAAAUGGACCACAACAGAGCGUGUCUCAAAGGCAACAAGACUAGCUAAAAACAAAAGAAGGAGACAGAACAAACCCAAAACGCCAAGUGCUCGCCCUCGUCUCCGAAUCACAGCUGCAAAAGAAGGCUGGAAUAAUCAUCGUUGGUAACCGGUACUGGGACCUGCAUCACGAAAUAGAUGCAGAGCGUAGCAUGAGUACCAACACAACAGGUACUCAGUAGGCAUCAUAGGCCGACUGAGCAAAAAUGGGUAAAAAUAAUAAGAAAUGAUAGAAUCUAGACACAGAGAGGUCAAAGUGGAUAUGAAAAGAAAGCACACGAGCAUACCAGAAACAAACUAAGUACACUAAACUAAACCUAACUGGAUCCCAUAUGCCCAGAAUGUACACUCGUGCGCAAGCUCAAACAAAACCUGAACGGACCCCCAUAAGCCCGACAGGUACACAAAAAANNNNNNNNNNNNNNNNNNNNNNNNNNNNNNNNNNNNNNNNNNNNNNNNNNNNNNNNNNNNNNNNNNNNNNNNNNNNNNNNNNNNNNNNNNNNNNNNNNNNNNNNNNNCUAGAAAGAGCGAACAGCAUACUCCCAGCCAACAGCACACUCCCAGCCCAGCUAGAAAGAGAGCCGGGGCGAUCGCCGAUAUCACCGAGUCUACCCAGCCAGCGAUACGUUCCCAGCCCAACUAGAAAGAAUGACCUCGGAGGUGAUGGUAUCUCCAAUAGGAUCCAAUCCAACAACAACCACCGUGGAACGCCGUCCACUCUAAGAAAUCACAGAAAAGGCUCCAAGUCUAUACUAUCUCAAUCCCACGCCUCUAGUGAUGCACCAAACCUUCGAGAAUGCGUCGGAACCGCAGAAUGAGAGGGAGAAGAUACAAAAGUGCAGCAAGCAGCGAUAACGCCUAAUCUGAGACUCAAACUAUCAGACUCAAGUCUGCUAUUCUAGUCUACAAGGAGCUAAGUCAUCCGAACGACGUCGGCAGAAAGUCAAGGCUAUCCAGCCCACACGGUUCAUAAGUCUAAGGCAAUGCUAGCCUAACCUAGACUAAGGACAUCAUGCUUACGGUUAAGGAUGAACAAGGCAUACAAUACAUAGCAUACAAGCAUACAAUAGCAUUUAGCACAUAAGCAUGCAACUCUACUAAAUCGGUUAACAUGAUACUAUACCCGAAAUAUGGCCAAUCGAUCCUAACAUGAGGUAUCUAAUCAAAGUAAGGUAGUAAACUGGUACCACCCCAAUUCACUCCAAUCGACAAUGUUUUUACACAAUUAAGCUCAAUCUAAAGAAGAAGCUGCAGCCUACCUUAAGGCCGAUCGUGCGCUCUCCAAAUCACUUUACCGGAGUUUUCCCUAUCCAAACGACCUCGAAACGCUGUCUCGCUAUCAAAAAUAGAGUCACAACGUUAUUACGAUCGUUUAGACACCAAAAUCACAACAAACGGAGACGGGUCAAUUUUGGAGUCAAAACGAGAAUCAUGGGACCCGCACCGAACUGUCCGAAUUUGACUCCUUCAAGAGACCCUAAACGGCACCCCAAACUUAUGUUCCAAAAUGGAACACAAUUCGAGGCUCAAAACAUAGCAAAAACCAACAAGCAAGAAACCACACUUUAAUCAACUAAAAGAAAACCUACAGCAGCAGUCUAAACUCGGAAUAAACGAGAAUCAAAAGGUUCCCAGCACUCUUUGAACACUCUACGAUGAAGCCUCGAUAAUUCUCAGCACGUGGGACUACGAAUCACCCAAAACCGAGCUAAAAUGAAAGAGAUAUGACCAAAACAAGAAUGCCAAAAACAAAGGCUCAAAAAAGGAACUGCAGUCAGGUUAAUCACGAAAUUACCUCGAACUUUGCAUACCCAACAAUUUCCGAGAACUCUACAGAGAAGCCACCGAAAAUACGAAGCUCCCGCACUUUGAAUCACCUAAUUCGGAUAAAAGAUGAGAAAGUUAUGAGAGUUUGAAGGUUUGGAAAAUGUUGCUUAUUUUCUGCAUUUAUAGCAGAUUUUCUGCAAUAUUUCCAAAACUUAAAAACUUCGACGGGGUGCUCCGAACUUGUUAAACACAGAAAUGACCAAGAGGGUCAUUACACUAGGUCAAUACAAAAAUCAAUAUCCCUAUCUAGUGUCAUACUAGGCAGGUCUCCAGGAAAGCAUCAACAAACUCACGAACUAUCAAAACAGACUCGAUUGAAGGCACUUUGGAAGUAUCAUCCCUGAGAUGUGCCAAGAAAGCUGAACAACCCUUACUCACCAACCUCUUAGCACGAAAAAAAGAGAUAAUACGAACUGGGUCAGGAAUAUAGUCACCCUUCCAUACUAGCGGAUCUAUCCCAGGCUUGGCCAAAGUCACAGUCUUAGCAUUACAAUCUAAGAUAGAAAAAUUUGGAGAAAGCCAAGUCAUACCCAGAAUUACAUCAAAUUCAACCAUCUAUAGAAUAAUCAAAUCUACAUAAGUUUUGAUCCCCACAAAAGUUACAAGGCAAGACCUAUACACCUUCUCAACUAACACAGACUCACCAACAGGAGUAGAGACACGAAUAGACAUGUCAAGCAAGUCAAAAUGCAAAUCAAGUCCAUUAGAUAAUAAGUAAGUUACAUAAAAAAAAUGUGGAUCCAGGAUCAAAUAAUACAAAAGCCAUGCGAUCACAGACCAGAAGAGUACCUAUGAUAAAAGCAUCAGAUGCCUCUGCCUUUGGUCUCCUGGGAAAGCAUAACAAUGGGCUUUAUCACCUGUCUGUUCAUUGCCCCUACUGAGAUGCGCUCCAAUAGUUCCAAUCUGCCCUCCACUUCAGCCAAACUGGUGACCACCAUUACCUUGGCCACCACGUCCUCUAGAAUGACGACCCCUACCAUGAUCACCCAUUUUUCUAAUUGCUGGAGAUCUGUAAUUUCUUGAUAUGCCCAGCCUCACCACAUCCGUAGCAAGUCUUGGAGUCGAGAGUAGGUCUCUGUGAAGACAAAGAAGACUGAAGAUAACCCCCAAACUCAGAAAAAGGCUGACUAGUCGUUGACGGACCCUCAGCUGAAACCUGCAAUGAAAACUGAAUAGGAUGGGGUGGAUAACCCCUAGAACUCUGCCAUCUGGAGUAAGAACCACUAAACGCACCUCCCUUACGGAACUUCUUAAACAUUGACACCUUGGUGAAGUCAUCUGGCUUCACCCCCUUUACCUCUAUCACAAAAUCAACCACUUCCUAAAUAGAUUUUACAGGAGCAGCUACCUGUAAAGCUGGAAUCUGCAAAUCUGAUCUCAGUCCCUUCACAAAGCGGCUAAUCCGCUCUUGCGGACUGAAGCAAAGCCGAGUGGAAUACCUGGAUAAUGCACGAAAUUUGGCCUCAUAGGCUGCAACCGACAUUUUUCCUUGCUCUAUGUUUAUGAACUCAUCUCUCCUCAUGUCCCUCAAAGUCCUGGUUAUAUACUUCUCCAUGAAGAAGCUAGAGAAUGCUGCCCAAGUCAUAGGUGGUGCCUUUGCUUGUCAUGACCCGAGUCUACACCCCCGGAAGCGACACGGCGUACUCGACUCCGAUGGGGUCUUAUACAAGCAUCAAAACAUUCAUAACAUAAGAUACUUAGAAAUAGUGCGGAAUUUAAAAACUUUUCUUUAUAAAUCCAACAAUCGAAAACAUUAAUAGCAAGCGGAAGUUUAUCGUCUCACAUGGCCAUCUAAAUAACAUACUUGAAACAAAAUAGGGUCACGACCCUUUACAAUUGAACUCUUAACAAUAGUCUAUUACAUGAAAAGAAAGGAAACAUCAACUACUUGUCCUCGAUCUAUGAGGACAUACCACUUGGUCUUGGGGAACUCAAAUCCAAGCUUCACUAGAGAAAACCACUCAAUUGCCGGAACCUACACUUGUAGUAAACAUAGAAGAAUGGGUUGGCACAAUUAAGUACCAAGUAUGAUAGCCAUGCAAAAACAUGCUUAAAACGAACAUUUUAUUUGAAAGUCAUGAUAUAUGCCAUUUUGAUAAAACCUUCAUAAACAUAAGCAUAAGAGGCAUAAUAUAAGACAUAACCAACAUACAAGUCAUUUAACCAUAUUAGAAACAUAAUCAACAUAUAACCCAUUACCUUCACAUUAAGCCUUCACCUCAAGUAGCCCUCAAGCUAUACUUUGUGCAAUGUAUGAAUAGAGUUCCAUACCACUAUCCACACCAAGUACCACCUUAAGGUCACCAAAAGUGAACUUACCAUUCAACCUUAGCAUCCUUACACAAUACUCAUACAUAAGAGGCAUAAACCUUUCAUAAAUCAUAUCAUCACAUAAGGACCAUCACCUAAGAAAAUCCUAAGUCAUACUUGUGCAAUGUGCAAGUAGCAUCCCAUACUACUACUCACACUAAGUACUCCUUGAAGUCACCAUAGGCAAGGCACAUUAAUAUACAAUAAGUCAUGACAAGGAAGUAACUCAUAAUACAAUCCAUGUAUAGGAUGCAUCAUCUAAUUUAAGCAUAAGUCUCAAUCUUCAUUACAUUAAGAGCACCUUCAUUCAUUAGACAUUAGAUCAACAUUCUCAUUAACAUCAUCAUAAGAGCACAUUCAUUACACUUAACAUUAUAAAGGAACACACCACGACCUCUUUCAAAGCCUACUUGUGCAAUGCAUAGAUGUUGUCCCAUACCACCACCCACACUAAGUAGUGCAUCCUUAAGAAGCCAUAGUUCAUUAACAUUCUUUGUGGGGGGUUAAGCCUUAACCGACAUAAACCAUGUGAGCAAUUCAUGGAAUCCCGGUGUCACCCUCACCGGAUAAGGAAUUCCUACUUGCCUAAGGUAGGACCAUUGCUUUUAGCUUAAGUGAAUCCACUAGCUAGACCUAUGUGGGCACAUAGUUAUGGGAUAGGGAGAUUGCUACUAGAUACCCCACCUCAACUCACGGAUGAGCAUCCAUCUCAAGAGGUUGCUACUAGAUACCCUGCCUCAACUCACGGAUGAGCAUCCACCCCAAUUCAUAUCCACUCGGUGCUUAGCAUUAUUCCCUACGGAUUACUUAACAUUCAUUAUUAUGGGAUAAGAGAUUGUUGCUAGAUACCUCGCCUCAACUCAUGGAUGAGUAUCCAUCUCAAACCCAACAUUCAUUCAUUGGAAAACUUAUUGAUUCAAAUAUGAGAAUAGCCUUUCACCUAAGAAUCUCAUAUUGUGAGAAAGUCCUUUCACAACAUGUCAUUAUCAUUCAUUGGAGUACAAUUGAGAAUAGCCUUUCAAUAAGUACUUCAUCAUUAACAUAAUCAUAGAACUUCAUUCAUUAUUCAUUCAUUAGUGUGUAUGUGAGAAUAACCUUUCACAUAUAGCCUCAUCAUUCAUAAGUGUUAAUAGAGAGAUAACAUUCAAUCAUAACACAAUUACCUUCUAAACAUGAUCAUAAUUCAUUCACUUAGAUCACACACACAUACUUCACAUCAUAAUCAUACAUAAUCCUUCAUGAAAUUGCCCCUUAGGGCUAUGAACCAACAUCAAUCCAUAAAUCCAAGAUACUACAAUAUAAUAGGAAAUUGACAUGAUUAAAUCACUUAAUUCAAUGUAAACAUCAACAAUUCAACAUACUUGCAUAAUCAAUCAACUCCCAAUUACAAAUCACAAUUUAGGAAAUUGGGGGAAAACAUGGGUUCUAGGAAGAAAUCAUCUUAAUUCAUCUUUAAAUCCAAAAUUCAUUCAUAAUUCAAUGCAAUAAUUCCUUUAGAAAUCGUUUUGAAUCGAACCCAUGCAUAGAUUUAAAACUAGGAUUUUGGGGUAAACUUUGAAGACUUGAAAUAAAAAAAUGGCUCCUUGAAAGAAACUAAGUCAAGGAUGAAGACCAUACCAUUAUGGAAGAAUCUCAUGAAAAUUCCUUGAAAAACUCGAAGUCUUGACCUUGGAAGCUUGAAGUCUUCACCUCCAAUGGAGGUUUCUAGAGAGAGAACUUUUGGAGGAGAGGGGAGGUUAGUAUUUUGGGUUAAGAAAUAAUGAAAUCUAAAAUAUGUUUUAAUACUUUAAAAACCCUUAAAAUACCAUAAAUGACUAAUUAAAACCGUCCCCAACCAAACUAGACUUAACAUGAAUUUACCAAACCACCCCCACAUUGGCCGCACCUUGAUAGCUUUUGCAGGGGUGAAUCACGACCACUAAACCACAGACCGUGGUCUGGAUCACGCCCCAUCCUGGUCAAGCGUGGUUUGGGGCUGUGGUUUGGACAAGAGGGACUUGACCCACGGAGGCAGUCCACGGGGCGUGGAUGGUCCUACGGGGCCUGGUCCCUUUCUGCUGUUCACUAAAUUUUGGGUAACCUUUUUGGUUUCAAGGGGUCUUAGGGGUUAGGCUUAGGGUCCUCCUCAAGGACCCCUAGGUUGGUCCUUGGGGAGUCAUACCUUGACGUUUAACCCCUAAACCCCUCAACCUAAGCUCGGCACAACAUUAUACCACCCUUAAACCUCACAACAACUCCAAGACACACUAGUUAGGCUCUAGUUUCACUUAUUCAUUUUACGAGUUAUUACAUUGCUGGCCGACACUCAACAUGAGACCGCCACCACAUUUUGGCAUCCCCCUGAAACUGGUAUGUCACAAACUCAACACCGAAUCGCUUCACUAUGUCCAUCUUAUGUAGCAGCUCAUCACAAUCAACAAGGAAAUCAUAAGCAUCUUCAGAUUCAGUACCCUUGAAGACCGGAGGUUUCAACUUUAAGAACUUAAUAAAGGGAUCAUGCUGGUCACUAGUCAUUAUAGACCAUGUAGUCAAUCGGGGAAACAUGCCUAUUUCCAAGGACACAUACAUGUGGGGAGCCACAAUAGCUGCAUGUUGUACUCCUUGAACCUGAGUUGUUGGUGCAAAAAACGCUGGGGGUGCCUGGCCCUGAUCAGAUAACCCACUGAGAUAAGUGAGAACCUGAUUGAUCAUCUCUGGAGUAGGCAUGAGUGGUGCUUCCUUCUCAUUAAUCUUCCCAUCCUCCCCCUCAUCACCCUCUUUUGCUACCUUCUCAGCUGGUGGAGGGGGCACUGCUCUAUCUCUAGUUGGACUAGUUGCUUGUCCUCUGCCUCUAGUGGGCUUUCUCCCGCGACCUCUACCACGAUCUCUCGCCACUGCUCCCCCUCGGGGUACAACCCCAAUGGUUGGCUCAGGUGCACUAUGACUUGCUGGUGUUGGUGUUGCCACAACUAUUGCUCUAGUUCUGACCAUCUGCGAAACAGAGUGAAGAAGGUCAAAUACCAAUUUGUAUCACCUAGAUACCAAUUGGAUUCAACUAAUAGCAGGGAAGAAAGAAAGAAAUGAGUUUUUCUAAAGUCCUAGAGCCUCUCGAAGAAAAGUAAAGACGUCCCUGUAUUGUUCUGUAAAACUCUACUAGACUUGUCCUUAUGUGAUGAGAUCACCGAACCUAAAGCUCUAAUACCAAGUUUUUCAUGACCCAAAAUGAGUCAUGAUUGGCACCCACACUUAACCUCCUAGGUGGGCAAUCCAAUUUAUCCAACCCAACUUAUAUCAAUUGUUCAACUAUGGAUAACAACCAUAAUGCGGAAGCUCAAACUUAUUAAAGUAACUAAUAAAAUAAACCUCUAAAGUCUAGUACAUAUUAUCUCCAAAACCUGAAAGUCAUCACAUCAAGAAAAUCUAUUCUCAAAAUACCAAGUCUAAGAGUAUUAAAUAAAUCAAAAUAAAUAAGUAGAAUAGUUUAUGUCCGAAAUCCAUCAUGCCAUGACUGAGAGGAUCCAACACGAGCUGAAAGGAAAAGCUCACCCUGAAAUCGAAUAAACUGGAGACUGGCAAGAACUGAGGGCGAGUCGAUGGUAUACUCUCUCACUCCACAAAAAUAAAACGAAGAAAACACAAGUAGGGGUCGUACAAGACAACAUGUACUGAGCAUGUAUCAUCGGCCAACUCAAAAUGAAAACUAAUAUUCAGUAAGUAAUAGUGUAAAAUCUAUUAUGGCACCUAGCAGGUGGCAAGCAACAACCAACAUAAACAAUUGAUAACAACACCAAAGUAAGUAUGUAAUCAGUCAACAAUAUCAAGAACACACAUGAGAACUCAUGUGUCCACACCAAGCUCUUUUGGGAAUAGGGUUCUUUAAGACUGGGUAUAUUAAGUUGUUUAACAUGUUUUCCUUUAAUUUUACCAUGUCAGAACGUGACACUCGAUCCAAUAAUAUUGUGCUGGCUCGUGGCACCCAAUCUAAAUAUAUCAUGUCGGAACGGGACAACUGAUGCAAUCUAUAUUGCCUCAAGACCUUUGACUCAUAGACAAGCUUGGGAACUCCAAUGGAUUGAAGAGUUGUUCCCAAGGAUGGAGGCUCUUGGGGUUGUAUUAGUGUCAAAAAAGGUUCACAUGCGUGGAAGAUCGCUUGGGCGAACGAAGGGAGGACAGUUGACAACACUGCUCUUUGGCGAACAUAAGAUUAGUUGGCGCAUCGCCCAAUGACUUGGGUGAUGGCCCCCAGACCUCAUAAUGUUCUAGAACGUGCCAGGAGCAGGAUCCAUGCAGGAAACAUCACCAACCCAAUGGGCGAGUCGCCAAGUGUAUUGGGCGAUCUCGACUUAGCUCGCCCAUUGGUCAUUUCGGGCCUUUUGUGUAGUAAUGUCCUAAAACUAUAAAUAGGCAGUUUAGAAUCAUUUUAGAGUUAGAUUAUUUAUAGUAUUGAAAACUGAAAACUCAUGUUAAGUGUUGAGAGCUUGGUUAAGCUUGUGUUGACUAUUGUUUAGAAACGUCGGUUGCUUGGGAGUUCAAUGCCCCUGAGGUCGUCGUAAGAGUUAGGUUCCAUUGUAGGAUUAACAGAUUGAGGUCAUUGGGUUUAAUAUACCCUUUGGUUGCUUUUUGUUUCCUCUUUGUGUGUCUAUCUAGUUAUCUUUACUUUUCGUAUUUCAAUUUCCGCAUUUAAUUGUGAUUCCCUUUUAGGAAUUACAUCAUUUGAAUCCUACAAUAGCACCUAACUCUUUUGACGACCUCAAGGGCAUUGAACUCCCAAGAAACGACAUUUCUAAACAAUAGUCAACACAAGAUUAACCAAGCUCUCAACACUAAUAUGAGUUUUCAGUUUUCAAUAUUCAAAAUAAUUUAACUCUAAAAUGACCCUAAACUGCCUAUUUAUAGUUUUAGGACAUUAUUACACAAAAAGGCCCAAAGUGUCUCGAAAUGACCAAUGGGAGAGCUAAGUCGGGCUCACCCAAUCUACUUGGCGACUCGCCCAUUGGGUUGGCGAUGGUUCCUGCAUGGAUCCUGCUCUUGGCACGUUCUGGAACAUUAGGUAGUCUGGGGGCCAUUUCCCAAGUCAUUGGGCGAUGCGCCAACUGAUCUUCUUCUCGCCAAAGGGCAGUGUUGUCAAAUGUCCUUCCUUCGUGCGCCCAAGCGAUCUUCAACGCAUGUGAAACUUUGUUUGCCACCAAUACAAGACAAAGAGCCUCCAUCCUUGGGAAGAACUCUUCAAUCCAUUGGAGUUCCCAAGCUUGUCUAUGAGUCAAAGGUCUUGAGGCAAUCUGGAUUGCAUAUUCUCCCCUUCUUGAAAAGGAUUUGUCCUCGAAUCCAAACCUUGCAAAACCAUAGGGAAAGCAAACAAUAACAAGAUCCUCAUGGCAUGAGGGUUAGCAUUAGCAAUAACUAUUUCAUCACCAUGCCAAGGAUGCACAAAUUUAACAUAUAACCAAGAAUGAAGAUGAUCAACAAAGGGUUUGUAACCCAUCAAAGCAAGAUAUACUUGGUUACUUAAGAAACUUUGACAAAGGGGUAGAGAGAAAGAACUAAUACAAUUAAGCAACCACACAUGUAAACCCACAUUGGUUCCACAUUCCAACGAGCACAAUUCCCCCUUUAAGUCAAGUAACACAUGAACACUCUUAUACCUAAGUGCAAAGGCAUAAGUAAUGUUGACCUAAAUUAAGAAUCCAUCCAAUGCACUUAAUAUCUUCAAGAAAGUAAUUAUUCCCAAUUCAUGAGCGGGUUCAAGUGCACAAGUAUUCCCCACCCAAAUUGGAAAACAUACCUCAUUCAAGCACACAGGAUCAAGUAAUAACACCAAGUAAGAAACAUAUGAAUGACAUACGGUGUUACUACCAUAUUCAGCACACUUAAAACCAGCAUCGGGGUCAAAUGGAAAAGGAUUGCAUAGCAUUGAGUCAAGGAGACUCUAAUUUGCCAUAUUGAUACCACUACUAACAUAACAUAUGCUACCCACAAAAGCAUGAGUAUCAUUAUAUGCAAGUAGAUACAAUUGAGUCCUCGAAUCCAAACCUUGUAAAACCUUAUAGAUCACCAGCAAGAAGCAUAUCCUCAUAACAUGAUGGUUAGUAGAGAGGUUAACACUAAAAACAUUGAACUGAGGUGAUUCAAACUCAAGGAACAACCAAACAUCCUCUAUUAUCAUGGCUAUUAAGCCCAUAGAUGAAGAACAAGGAAGUUGGUUAUUCUUCACAUCAACAGGAUAACAACACCAACAAGGUGAUACUUUUAUGAAUUCAAAUACUCUCAAACAUUUCACCGGGAUCAAUAUGAUAAAAGCUCCACAUAACUGGAUCAUACAAACAAGUAUAGACCUCAAUGAUAUCCCGAUCCACAUGCAAGGCACCUUUAAUACAACCAGUGGAUUCAUCAUAUGCAAAGAGAUAGUAGAGGAAGAUAUAAGCUUCACCUUCUCUUGGCAAAUGGCUCUUACCCCCAUACGAUGCAUAAACAACAAGAUCAAAUUCAAAGCAAGGGUAAAGAAAAAAACUAUCCCUCCCCAUGCACAAUGUAGUCCCUUCAAGUGGAUGGUAAAACCUCAAGAAUAGUUUUUCUUCAUAGGGAAAGACAUCAACAAUUUCACCCACAUUAUGCCUGCCAUUUUGACCAAGCAUCCCCACACAAAUACCACAAUUCAACUCACUAUCGGGGUCAAAUGGAAAGGAAAUCCAUGAAUUUGGAUCAAGUGCACUUCAUUUUAUCAGAUUGGCACCCUUACCUUCCCAAAACAUACUCCACUCAACAGUGUGAGCAUCAUGAUAUGUAAACAAGUAAACGAGAAAGGUAUUACCUAAAUACACUUCAGUCAAGGGGUUCCCAACUUUAGCCUCCACUCUAGAUGCUAGAGGAUCACAACUCACACGAAGCACUGGAACACACAAUGAAGAAGUAACAGUUAAAACAUAGGCAUCCCUUUUCAUCUUAAUACUACCCUUCCCAAUAAAUGUACUAUCAUCUUCACAGAAGAUAUUUCCAUCUUGAGGAAGUGUGUCAUUGAACCACAGUGGAUUCUUAAACAAUUUAACAACAUUUGUGAGAGUUCCACCUUUGGAAAUUGGGUCAUCACACCAUAGCAGAUUCUCAAACGAUUUAACAACAUUUUCAUCAUACAAGAAUGUCACAUUGGAAGCAUCAUCCCAAUUAUGACAGAGAGUGAGAUGAGCCAUUUUUGAAAACACACUAUAACUAUUGAACCCAUCAAUCAUAUCAUCUAGUCUAGGGAUAAGAUGACAAUACCUUAAGAUGAUCUUUUUGAUGGCCCACCAAUCAACACACAUGCGCCAUGAUCCACCUUUCUUUGGAACCAAUUGAACCGGAACAACGCACAUACUUGUACUUUUCUUCACAUAGCCCUUGUUGAGGGGUUCCUCAACUUACCUUUGUAGCUCUUCACUUUCUCCCGGAUUACUUCGAUAAGCUAGUUUGGUUGGCCAAUGUGAGCCCGACACGAAGUCAAUUUGGUUCUCAAUACCCCUGAGAGGGGGCACUUCACUUGGUAGUCCCAUUAAAAGGGAUUCAUUAGAAUCCUGCAAACGAAAGGAAAUAGAAUGGGGAGGGGAAGAAUUAGAAAGGUUAGCUUGAAACACAUGAUACCUAGGUGUGAUAGGAAUCAAUGAGCUUUGGGACUCCACGUCCUCCCUUAUCUCUCCAUGCUCAACUAACAAUAUUUGUGAUUUUUCUUUUCAACUUCCUCAUUUCUUCCUCCUUUUGGCCUUCGAUCUCCAUAUGCCCCUCCUCCUUCUUCCUUUUAUUCCUCAACUCAUCCAUCUUUUGAUACAUUUCCAUGACUUGAGAUAGUGAUAUAGGAUGAAGGACAUAUUUAUGUCCAUUCGACACAAGUGAAUUGGUGUUGAUUCUCCCAUCAUGUUUUGUCGAACGAACAUGUUGCCAAGGUCUUUCGAGUAGUACAUGACAAGAUUGCAUUGGGAUCACAUCACAUAGGACCACAUCUUGGUAUUUCCCAAUUCGAAACUUGAUCAACACUUGUCUGUCAACUCUCAGUUCUUCACACUCAUUCAGCCAUUGAAGUUCGUAAGGCUUAGCAAGCUUAGUGGUAGGAAGCCUCAAGAAAUCCACUGGAGCGGUGCUAGCAACAUUUGCACAACUUCCACUGUCAAUGAUCAAAGAACAUACAUUACCCUGGAUGAGGCACUUAGAGUGGAAAGUAUUCUCUCUUUGACUUUGGUUACUCAUGGACUUGCUAGUCAUAGUUCGCCUUACAACAUACGUUGGUAGGGCGAACUCUCCUUCUUUGGGCCAAGACUCAUCCUCCACAGUGUUCCUUCCAUAUUCCAUCAUGGACAGACCUUCUUGCCAAUCAAUCAUAAUUCUGGGUGUGAUUGUAGGAGAAAUAGUGUGGUCGUGCCCACUUGUGGAAACACGAAAAGUAGCUUUGGGUGUGGAGUUGGUAUAGUUGACUCGACCUUCCACUUUGUUUAUUAUCUCAUCUAUUCUCGACGUACUACCCUUCAUGGUGGUCAAGUGACCUUUUAUGUUCUCCAUUGUCUGAUUCACAUUAGUAAGCGCCCUCAUAAUAGAUUCCAAGGUAACCUUCCCCUUAGGUGGGCGAGUUUCAUUCCUGGUUGCCAUGGUACCUAACAAUUAAGACAACUCAGCAAAACAGGAAACAACGUUAGUGUUAGUAAAAUGAACUCACAAUCACUCGUGUUUACACACUUUUGAUUGCCUCUCAAUUUGGUGCGACUAAUGUUGAAGAUUGUUUAUACUCGGUUGAUCACAAGGUAUCAAUUUCUACUCUUAGCUGGAAUGGAUUCUUGUUUUAAAGAAAAGACGGACGACUCGAUUAAAGAAAAAUGGACUUGAAUCAAGAAGUUAACUACGAAGUAAAACGAAUAAAAGCAUGAAAAGAAAAGGCACUAACAAAGAAGUGAAUUCAGGAACCAAUAGUCAACAACUAGAGCAAUUACAAGUUGAAAAUCAGUUUAGGAAUCUUGAGAACGAUUGAGAAUCAAAAUAAAAGAAACUAAGAAUUAGAACCUAAGAUUAGGAGCGUAAAAUGUGUUUUCGAUCGCCAAAUGACCUGUUUUUUUGGCCAAAAGUGAAGUUCAGCUCGCCAACUUGAAGAUGGGGACACCAAACUUUGCAAUCUUCCAAGUAAACUUAGCGAUGUGGACGGAAGUUCGGCGGUGCGCCGACUGGACUUGGCGAGCCAAGUUAGCUCGCCCAAAGGUCCAGUGUUUGAGGGCCAACUCGGCGACCAAUCUGCCCAAAGGGCGAGGUGUCGAAUGGGCUAUGCGAGCAAAGUUGAGCUUGCCUAAUGCUCCAGCCCCUGCUCCUAAAGAACUCCGAAUUUGGACUCCUGUGGUCCCCCUUGCACUUUUUCACUUAGUAUUUACCCAUUUUUGGUAAAUUCCCUCUUUUACAAACACUUAUCGACUUUCUCUUUUUUCUCUUUUGGAAUCAAACUCCUUCUUUUUGAAUCUUCUUCCCUUUGAAGAUUUGGGUGUUCUUCAAGAACUUCAAGAACAAGAUGAAGAUCCAAAAAUUAAACCUUAAGAUUUUUAGCUCGGAGUUUCACGAAAAUUGAGAUACAAGCUCUCCUUGGUAUAGGGAACAACACCCAAUACCUUUUAACUCUCAAUUCCUUGCCAAAAUUUACAGAUUUCAAAACCCACUUGUGUCUUCUUUAAGCUUCUUUAACCUCAAAUGGUGGUUUCUUCAAUAGUGAACCAAAACCCUUCUAAUCUCUGCCCUAAACUCAAAUAAGGUUAGGGAACACUAAUCUAACCUUGGAAACUCCGAAGAAGACUCAAAUCAACAAGACCCAUUUUGGAAAUUCUUCAAAAACGUUUUGAACACUUUUUUUUUGUAACAACCCAAGACUAAAAUUGUUGGAACGAAUCUAAACUCGGCUUUGAUACCAAAUGAUGUAAUUUCUAAAAGGGAAUCAUAAUAAAAUGCGGAAAUUGAAAUACGGAAAGUAAAGAUAACUAGAUAGACACACAAAGAGAAAACAAAAAGCAACCAAAUGGUAUAUAAAACCCAAUGACCUCAAUCCGUUAAUCCUACAAUAGCACCUAACUCUUACGACGACCUUAAGGGCAUUGAACUCCCAAGCAACCGACGUUUCUAAACAAUAGCCAACACAAUCUUAACCAAGCUCUCAACACUUAACAUGAGUUUUCAGUUCUCAAUAUUAAAAAUAAUCUAACUCUAAAAUGAUCCUAAACUGCCUAUUUAUAGUUUUAGGACAUUAUUACACAAAAAGGCCCAAAAUUGACCUGAUAUGACCAAUGGGCGAGCUAAGUUGGGCUCGCCCAAUCCACUUGGCGACUCGCCCAUUGGGUUGGCGAUGGUUCCGAUAUGGAUCCUGCUCCUGGCACGUUCUGGAACAUUAGGCGGUCUGGGGGCCAUCUCAUAAGUCAUUGGGCGAUGCGCCAACUGAUCUUCUGCUCACCAAAGGGCAGUGUUGUCAACUGUCCUCCCUUCGUUCGCCCAAGCAAUCUUCCACGCAUGUUAACCUUUGUUUUCCACCAAUACAAGCCCAAGAGCCUCCAUCCUUGGGAACAACUCUUCAAUCCAUUUGAGUUCCCAAGCUUGUCUAUGAGUCAAAGGUCUUGAGGCAAUCUGGAUUGCAUUAACAUCCGAUCCAAUAAUAUCGUGCCGGCUCGUGGCACCUGAUCCAAAUAUAUCUCGUUAAUUUAUCAUUCUUUAUCACCGCUUUUCACUUCAUUAACAAUAUUUCAUCAUGCCUUCUUUAUUCAAGGCAUCAUUUUGAUCGAGAAAAUUCAAGAUUAUAGAUCGCACAGUAUUGGGAUCUCAGACCAAUCACAACAACACAUAAAUUAUCUAAACCACAACAACCAUGAACAUAGAAAAAUUUACAAUAUCACUCAAUGAUUAUCAGUCACUAUUAAGAGUCUAUCUAUCAUAUAGAAUAAACCAUAACUUACCUCAACCGAAGAGCCGAAGUCAGGCAAGCUACUUCUCCAAUACUUUUCCUUUUCUCAAUGCCUCCGAACGUUUUCAAUCUCUGCAGUAUGCAAUAUCCAUAAAUAAAUGAGUUCGUAGACACCCAUAUUAUUAUAUAUUUAGCCUAGACUCAAAACCCACCCAAAUCUAUAAUCAAAUUCUUAAAUUUUGAUACCAACUAAUAAUCAAGUCUCAUAUGUUCCUAAUUUUUCAAGCUUAGAGUUAAGUCUUAAUUCAUCCAAAUAAUAUAACUCUAAUGAAUUUCAUAUAAUACAAUACACUUAUAAUAUUUAAGUACAUAUCUCAAUAUAUUAAAACUCAAUUUAUAAUAUGAUGACAACGUAAUAAAAUUCAAGAUUAAAGUCACUGGUUUGGAAAACCAGUGGCAACAACUCUAUCCCAAAUUUAUCAUAUACUAUAAGCCAACCAAUUCAUUAUCACCCUCACUUUCUUAUUCAAAAUCCAAACUGCCAGCACAUCCGCUAACACUCACUUUCAAUUCUUAUCUAACCAUGAAAUGUUAUUAUAUAAUAUUUAACCCCCUACUAUUAAAUAUGGACAUUGAAGAUUCAAAGCAUUACCUCGAUGUCGGUCUUCCUUUUUAGACGCCGCAGGUAAAGUUUCUCGCCUAGUUUUCUUUCUUCUCUCGUUUACAAAUUAUUUUUUUACCCUAAUUAUUAUACAUGACCAAUUAUAAAAGUGGUAAAAGUGGCCCACUAUUAAUUUUAAUGUUAUUUUUUUAACCACCAACUAAAUUAAUUAUUAAAAUUACCUCAUUAGUUAUAUAAUUAUAGUUACGAAUAGUCCAAAAUACCAUUUAGAAUCUAUUGAAAGAGCCUUUUAUGAAAUAAAAUCUCUAGUACUCAAAACGACCUAAUGGGUCGUUACAAAUACUCAAUCUCUGUUGAAGUGAAUUCAAUUGAAUUGCGUUUUUUUGUGUUUGGGAAAAAGAUUUUGAUCCAUUUGACAUAGUAGACUUUCCUGCACUGACGAGUUAAUUCUUGAAAUUUCUCAGCUUGAGAAUAAUGAAGUGAAUUCGAUUAAAGAAUAUUUUGAUAAAUUUGACAUAUCUUUUCAAUAUUAACGGUAGACUUUUCGGCAUGGACGAGUUAAUUCUUGAAAAAUUUCCCAGCUUGAGAAUAAUGAAGUGAAUUCUAUUAAAGAAUAUUUUGAUAUAUUUGACAUAUCUUUUUAAUAUUAACGGUAGACUUUCCGGCACCGAUGAGUUAAUUCUUAAAAUUUCUCAGCUUGAGAAUAAUGGAGUUUCUAGGGUAAAACAACAAAAUGGAAAACUCAAAAAGGAAUGGCCAUGUGGUCCAGUCCUAUUUUAGUUAAUUUUGUUAUGCUUGUAGCUUGUUUUGUGUAUUUUGUUAAAAUAUAAUUGUAAACUCAUUUGACUUACAUAUUUUAAUUUUGAAAAUAAAUGCAAUUAUAUGAAUUGAAUAGACCUAAUGAUAUGCAGAAUAUAAAAUACAAAACUUGUUGAUAUACAGUUAAGAUGUGUUGACACCCAAUUUUGGCCCUCUACUAUAUUUGUUAAUCAUCGAGCUUCAUAAAUUUCAAAAGAUUUAAAAUAAUUAGUAUUUAUAAAGUUCAAAAUAUUUUUCAAGUUAUACUUUAGUAAUUUUUAUAAUUUCAUAUUUUUUUUCUAAAUAAUAUGUAGUUUUAUAUAAUUACGUAUAUAAUUAGCAUAUUUUAAAAAUAUUCAAAAAUCAUCUCAAAAGAUGUUACAUCUUAGUUAAAUAUUUUAUUAAUUUAGUUUGGUUAUAAUUUUGAGUUAAUUAAUUUGUAAUUAAGUUAAUUAUUUUGUUAAGAUUAAGAAGCUCAUUAAAAGCAUAAGAGAUAAUAACAUAGUCAUAACAUAAUCAUCAUAGUCAUUUUCAUUAGCAAGCGGAAGUCUUUACUAAAUCUUUGUCUCAAACCAUCUAAUAUAAUUCUUGAAUAAAACUCUUAGGACACAGCCCAUACAAAGUCUAAAGUAUAAAGAAAUGACAUAAGGGAAAUAUGGGUUCAUCCUCAAAGAUAUGAGGACUCACCAAAUCUUCAAGUCUUCUUGCCUCUUAGAAACCUAGCCUCCAAAGCAACUCAAGUAUCCAACCCUACAUUUGGUUAGAAUGUAGGAAAUAUGCGUUAGUACAAAAUGUACCAAGUAUGAAAGCUAGCACAACAUCAUAAGAGCAUCUCAAAUGGUUAGUCAACAUAAGACAAGCAUAAGAGAUAAUAGCAUAGUCAUAACAUAAUCAUCAUAGUCAUAGCAUGGUCUCCAAUAUAAGCAUCAUAUGAACAUAAGUCAACAUAAGACAUAGUUAAUGAGCAUAGGAGAUAAGUCAUAAUCAUAAUAAGCCAAGUCUUUAACCUAAGCAUCUUAUAAGCAUAAUUGACUCUUAGUCAUCUCUACCAUAAUAGAACCAUUUUCAAGUAACCUCAAAAGCAUACAAGUGAAAAGCAUGAAUAGCAUCCCAUUAUACCACCCAAACCAAGUAUCCCUUUUUGGGCCUCUUAAUCAUAGUCUAUAUACAUGGUCUAAAUCUUUAAGCUUUUCUACCAUGAGGGAACGAUACUCCUAAGUAACCUCAAAGCACACUUGUGCAAUGUAUGAAAGGAAUCCCCUACUACCUUUCACACUAAGCAUAACCUUGAAGUCAUCAUAGUCAUAUUUACCUUACUUUGGUCUCAUGCUUAAUUUAUUUCAUAAGGACAAAGGGAACUAUCACCUUAGUCGAUCAUAUCAUGUUAAGGAAGGCAACUAUAGCACAAUCCUAUCUAAACAUACAUCAUAUAAGAGCAAACAUCUCAUGAGUCACCUUAAGGCAAGCUUGUUCCAUGCAUGAACAAGACCCCAUAAUCCUACCCAUGCUAAGCUAGACACUUAAGUUCAUCAUUCAUGUUCAUUAUCUCUUAACAUCAUAAAGACAAUGUUAAUCACCUAUUAGUCAGUAUGAAGUGGAGAGGUAUCUAGACCUACUAUCCCAAACUAGUCAUGCUCAUGUUCAUAAAUUCAAGGGGGAAGUCACUUCAAGGCAUAAAUGUUUAGUUUAUCAUGAAGGGGAAGGGAAGUCACCUCAAGGCAUAAAUGUUUAGUUUAUCAUGAAGGGAAAUGGAAGUCACCUCAAGGCAUAAAUGUUUAGUUCAUGAUGAAGGACAAGGGAAGUCACCUCAAGCCACACAUAUCAUGGAAUCAUAAAGACAAGGGUAAUAACCUCUGGUCACACAUACUAUUGAAUUAUAAGGACAAGAGGAGUUUCCACAAGUCAUACAAAUCAUUGAAUCAUAGGUAUUCGCCUCCAUGUUCAUUAUUAGAAGAAUCAUAGGUAUUCGCCUCCAUGUUCAUUAUUAGAAGAUAUAGGUAUCAUAGGUAUUUGUCUCUAUGUUCAUUUUAAGGUGAUAUAGGUAUUCUCCUCCAUAUCAAUUUUAGUGUGUAAUGUAGAUAGUCGCCUCCACAUCAUCACAUAAUGAUCAUAUGUAAUCGCCUCGAUGUCCAACAUAAAGGCUAAUGGGUAAUCACCGCUUGCCUUCAGAGUCACACAUACAUAAGGGUAAUCACCUCAUACUCCCCAUACUCAACUAAUUAGGAGUAAGGGAAUUCACCACAUUCCUAUCAUGUAAAGGUCAUUUAGGGGAAUCACCACAAGCCUUAUCACAUCUUAGAGACCUAGGACUUAGAUUCAUUUUAGUUGAGAGAACCUUUCAACCUAGAAUCAUUCUAUGUGAGAGAACCUUUCAUGUCAUAUCAUACUCAUGCCUAAAACCAUAUCUAGAACUCUACAUUAGACAUUGGUAUCAUCAUGGAUCAAGUGAGUCUAUCACUUUGUGCAUCUAAGCCUUUAUAAUGUAGAUUAGGUAGGUAUAGGCCUUCUACGACAAUUCUAUACUUUUAUCCUCUAAUCUCACAUAUAGACUUUACUCUCAAAGCCUUAACCUUCACAGUUCAUCAUAUUGGAUUUACCUUCAUACCCUAGUGAUAAACAUUUAUUGAUACAAGCCUUACAUUCAAGCUUUGCUUCUUGCAACCUUCAUUCAUUCCUAGAUUUCAAGGUAUUCUAAUCAUAUUCAUCAUUACUACGUGAUUCUAGUCAUAAUUGAUCAUAAAGGUUCAGUUCUAACUUUACAAGUCAAGAUCCUUCCUAUUCAAUCAGGUCUUGUUCAAUUCAUGAUUAGAUUAUCCUAACUAUGAUCAAUUAGCGUACAAGACAUUGAUUUAGGAAGAUCACCUUUAAACCUUGAACUUUGCCUUUAAUGGCCUAAACCCACAAAGAUCAUAUUCAUCAAUUUAGAUUUGGGUUUACUAUAGAAAUCACAUGAUAUCAUCAUAAUAUCAUUAAAUAAAGUUAAAUCAAUCAUAAUUGGGUGAUAUCCACUAGAUUGGAAUCACACCCAAACCUUACCCACAAUGCAAUCACAACCCUAGCUAGAAUUGGAUUUUUGAUAUCACAAGUGGGAAACUAUGGGGGCUCUAUGGGUAGAAGAACCCAUAUAUGAUUAAGAUUCACAUACCUUGCUUCAAAUACCUAAAUAAAUCUUGAAUCCUGGAGAAAACUCGACCUAGGUGUUGCCCCUAUUUUUAUUCUUCUUUGCUCCUAGAGAGAGAAUAUUUGGAGAGUGAUUUGGGGGUUCUAAGAUGAAUGAUCUAAUGACUUAGUUUUAGGGGUGUAUUAGACUUGUAUAGGUGGAUAAUUAACUAACUAACCGACCUACCUUAACCCCUAAUUUAUAACUUAAUUAAUUCCCAAACCCCUCAACUAAAACUAAAAGUCAUCAAAAUAGCUCAAAUCAUGAGACCACCACCCACGGACCGUGGUGGGUCUACGGACCAUCCUAGUCCUCCGUGGUCUGAGGCUGGGGGUCUAAAAUUUCAGGUCAUGAGAAGCCUUGACCCACAACCCCAAGCUACGGGGUGUGGGUCCAUCUACGGCCAGUAGAUGGCAUCGUAAGUGCUGCCAAAAUUCCAGAUUUAAGGGACUAUUUUGGGGUCCUCCUCAAAGACCCUUUGUUUGGUCCUUGGGGAGUCGGGUACCCGGACGUUUAACCCUAAAUCCCCUAUACUAAGUACGGGAAUCAUUUCUUUUGAUUUUUAAUCCUCAUACGACACUUCAAAAUCUUACAAAAGGCUCUAGAACAUGCCUGUUCAACUCACUAAAUUCCAGGAUGUUACAGUUAUGAUAUGCUAAGUGGAUUGUAUGAGGCCUCUCAAAGUAUUAAACACCUUGUUACAUCUAGGGGGUACCCUUGGGUCGUGACAAACUUGGUAAUCAGAGCACAUGGUUUAGAAUGGUUCUAGGAUGCCUAAAACCAUGUCUAGUAGAGUCUUUUUCAUAAAUGUGAAGCGCUCCACAUUUAUGAAUGAGAGGCUAAUAGAUGUUUAGGAAACUUCACUUCUCUAAGUCGUGCCAUGGAGUUUAACUCUAUAAAGUCUUUCUUCUAAUCCUUACCCGAUUAUUUUCAGGAUAUAACUACUAGAAAGGCUAAUACUAGAAGGACUGAGGGAGACAAUAUGGGACAAGAAGUUCCUCCCCAAGCUCCUCCUUAAUAUCCGAUUGAUCCUUUAGCCGAGAACGUAACCAAUUCGGUGGUUAGGUCGACAUUCCAAGUGUUGGCUCAAGCCGUGAUGGCCCAAGCCAAUAGUGAAGUGAUAGCUCCCGUGAACACAAAUAUGGGCACGAUGGCGGCAAGAGUGAGGGACUUUAUAAGGAUGAACCCUCCCAAAUUUCAUGGAUCCAAAGUUGAGGAAGAUCCUUAAGAAUUCAUUGAUGAGGUCUAUAAGAUACUUGCUAUCAUGGGGGUGACUCCGGUAGAGAAGGCAUAAUUGGCCGCUUAUCAACUCAAAGGUGUUGCUCAGAUUUGGUUCAAUCAAUGGAAAAAGUCAAGGCCGGAAGGAGCGAGUCCCAUAGAGUGGAAAAGGUUCAAAAGUGAUUUUGUUGAUAAGUUCUUCCCUCUAUAUAUGAGAGAGGCCAUGUUCUUGAGUUCAUCAACCUUCGACAAGGAAAUAUGAGUGUGAGGGAAUAAACUUUGAGGUUCACUUAACUAUCUAAAUAUGCUCCUUCUAUUGUGGAGGAUCGUAGGACCAAGAUGAGUAUGUUUGUGUCGGGAGUGUCCGACUUGGUUGUCAAAGAAUGUCGCACGGCUAUGUUUGUUCAUGAUAUGGAUAUUUCUUGCCUUAUGGUGCAUACCCAAUAAAUUGAGGAAGAAAAGCUCAAGGAGAGAUAUAGGAAAGAAAAAAGGGUAAGAAUGGAUGAUGGUAACUUUUCACAUUCUAGGUCCAAUGGAAGAGGUCGUUCAAGGUUACGAUAAAGGUUCUCCGGGAAAGUUCUUCAAGUGCUCCUCCAAGUCCUAACAAUGAAAGGGUGUCUAACCCUAAGCCUCAAGGAGAUGGUAAUAAGUCCAUGAUGCCUACUUGUGCUAAGUGUGGGAGAAACCAUGAGGGCAAGUGUCUAGUGGGCUCUAAUGCUUGUUUUGGGUGUGGUAAGAUGGAUCAAAAUAUAAGGAAUUGUCCUUUAGUUGCUAAGAAUGAGGGAGAUACUCGCCGUAGGGCUCAAUCCAACCCCUCAUCCGGUCCAAGUGGUUAGUGUGCUAGUGCUCCUAAGAGAAAUCGAUUCUAUGCUCUUUAGACUAGAGGUGACCAAGAGAGCUCCCCCAAUGUGGUGACAGUAUGUUAAAGGUUUUUCAAAUUGAUGUGUAUGCUUUGAUAUUUCCCGGUGCUACUUUGUCCUUUGUGUCUCCUUAUGUAGCUAUGAGAUUUGAUGUGCUCCCCGAUGUGUUGUUAGAGCCCUUUUCUAUUUCUACCCGUAGGUGAUUCGUGUUAGCUGAAAGGGUAUAUAGAAGAAGUCCCAUUUCCUUGUCCCAUAGAGUUGCUCUUUUUGACUUGGUAGCACUUGAUAUUUUAGACUGGAUGUAGAUUCUGAAACCCCUUCUCUUGAGUCGAACCCCAUUGGAAAAGAGUUUCCAGAAGUGUUCCCAGAUGAUCUACCUGGUAUUCCUCCCGAAAGGGAAAUAGACUUUUUUAUUGACCUUCUCCCAGAUACGCAACCUGUCACGACCCGAGAGUACCCCUAGUCGUAACAUGGCGUAUUCGACCCCGAAUGGGUCUUAUACGAGCCACAUAGUCAUUCAUUGCAUUCAAUAAUGAAAAUAGUGCGGAAAUAAAAAAAAACUUAUUUACAUCCACACAUUUAAACUUCAUUAAAACAACUUUAAAAACACACAGCGGAAGUCUAAGUCUCACAUGGCCAUCUUAGACACAGUCACAAAACAUAAGUAGGGACACNNNNNNNNNNNNNNNNNNNNNNNNNNNNNNNNNNNNNNNNNNNNNNNNNNNNNNNNNNNNNNNNNNNNNNNNNNNNNNNNNNNNNNNNNNNNNNNNNNNNNNNNNNNNNNNNNNNNNNNNNNNNNNNNNNNNNNNNNNNNNNNNNNNNNNNNNNNNNNNNNNNNNNNNNNNNNNNNNNNNNNNNNNNNNNNNNNNNNNNNNNNNNNNNNNNNNNNNNNNNNNNNNNNNNNNNNNNNNNNNNNNNNNNNNNNNNNNNNNNNNNNNNNNNNNNNNNNNNNNNNNNNNNNNNNNNNNNNNNNNNNNNNNNNNNNNNNNNNNNNNNNNNNNNNNNNNNNNNNNNNNNNNNNNNNNNNNNNNNNNNNNNNNNNNNNNNNNNNNNNNNNNNNNNNNNNNNNNNNNNNNNNNNNNNNNNNNNNNNNNNNNNNNNNNNNNNNNNNNNNNNNNNNNNNNNNNNNNNNNNNNNNNNNNNNNNNNNNNNNNNNNNNNNNNNNNNNNNNNNNNNNNNNNNNNNNNNNNNNNNNNNNNNNNNNNNNNNNNNNNNNNNNNNNNNNNNNNNNNNNNNNNNNNNNNNNNNNNNNNNNNNNNNNNNNNNNNNNNNNNNNNNNNNNNNNNNNNNNNNNNNNNNNNNNNNNNNNNNNNNNNNNNNNNNNNNNNNNNNNNNNNNNNNNNNNNNNNNNNNNNNNNNNNNNNNNNNNNNNNNNNNNNNNNNNNNNNNNNNNNNNNNNNNNNNNNNNNNNNNNNNNNNNNNNNNNNNNNNNNNNNNNNNNNNNNNNNNNNNNNNNNNNNNNNNNNNNNNNNNNNNNNNNNNNNNNNNNNNNNNNNNNNNNNNNNNNNNNNNNNNNNNNNNNNNNNNNNNNNNNNNNNNNNNNNNNNNNNNNNNNNNNNNNNNNNNNNNNNNNNNNNNNNNNNNNNNNNNNNNNNNNNNNNNNNNNNNNNNNNNNNNNNNNNNNNNNNNNNNNNNNNNNNNNNNNNNNNNNNNNNNNNNNNNNNNNNNNNNNNNNNNNNNNNNNNNNNNNNNNNNNNNNNNNNNNNNNNNNNNNNNNNNNNNNNNNNNNNNNNNNNNNNNNNNNNNNNNNNNNNNNNNNNNNNNNNNNNNNNNNNNNNNNNNNNNNNNNNNNNNNNNNNNNNNNNNNNNNNNNNNNNNNNNNNNNNNNNNNNNNNNNNNNNNNNNNNNNNNNNNNNNNNNNNNNNNNNNNNNNNNNNNNNNNNNNNNNNNNNNNNNNNNNNNNNNNNNNNNNNNNNNNNNNNNNNNNNNNNNNNNNNNNNNNNNNNNNNNNNNNNNNNNNNNNNNNNNNNNNNNNNNNNNNNNNNNNNNNNNNNNNNNNNNNNNNNNNNNNNNNNNNNNNNNNNNNNNNNNNNNNNNNNNNNNNNNNNNNNNNNNNNNNNNNNNNNNNNNNNNNNNNNNNNNNNNNNNNNNNNNNNNNNNNNNNNNNNNNNNNNNNNNNNNNNNNNNNNNNNNNNNNNNNNNNNNNNNNNNNNNNNNNNNNNNNNNNNNNNNNNNNNNNNNNNNNNNNNNNNNNNNNNNNNNNNNNNNNNNNNNNNNNNNNNNNNNNNNNNNNNNNNNNNNNNNNNNNNNNNNNNNNNNNNNNNNNNNNNNNNNNNNNNNNNNNNNNNNNNNNNNNNNNNNNNNNNNNNNNNNNNNNNNNNNNNNNNNNNNNNNNNNNNNNNNNNNNNNNNNNNNNNNNNNNNNNNNNNNNNNNNNNNNNNNNNNNNNNNNNNNNNNNNNNNNNNNNNNNNNNNNNNNNNNNNNNNNNNNNNNNNNNNNNNNNNNNNNNNNNNNNNNNNNNNNNNNNNNNNNNNNNNNNNNNNNNNNNNNNNNNNNNNNNNNNNNNNNNNNNNNNNNNNNNNNNNNNNNNNNNNNNNNNNNNNNNNNNNNNNNNNNNNNNNNNNNNNNNNNNNNNNNNNNNNNNNNNNNNNNNNNNNNNNNNNNNNNNNNNNNNNNNNNNNNNNNNNNNNNNNNNNNNNNNNNNNNNNNNNNNNNNNNNNNNNNNNNNNNNNNNNNNNNNNNUUUUUGAGAGAGGGAGGGUUUCUUUUUUCUUCCUAAUUGGAGUGAUUUAAAUGGAAGAAUUUUGGUCAAAAGGGUUUUAUAAUUUCUAGGAAAUAAUAUAUGUCAUUUGGAAGAAAUGGUCCAACACUUAGAAAAAAAUUUAGGCGGGUGAACAGUAAUGAACAGUAAAAUUAGCUACUGGAAAUUGUCUUUUUCUGUCGGACAGAUUUUACGGAAAUGGGCAUAACUUCUUCGUCCGAACUCCGAAUGAGGUGAAACGAAGUGCGUUAGGUAGCUAACUCAAAGGGCUUUCCAUGGAUAUAUUAUUGGCCACCCAAAUAAUUUGUGUGCUAGGAGAUAUGACCCUCCAAAGUAGACCCUCGAAAAGGCUUCACUUGGAAAUUUCGGAUUUUGAUACGGUUGCUCUAAAAUUUGGGUUAGACCCAUUUCCCACUCAAUUUGACCCCCUAAACAAGAAUAUGAAGUCGGAUUUUCGAAAAACGAAACGGAUCUUUUUAUAUACAGCUAAACAAGUUUCCGGUAACUUUCGAAGCACAUUUUUAAGAACUUUUUGGGUCAAAUUCAAAUAUAAUCAUUUCAUUAAGUUCUCGACUCCAAACUCACAUGUGAGGCUCUAGUUUCACUCUAUCAUUUUCCGGGUCGUUACACAACCUAUCUCCAUUCAUCCUUAUAGAAUGACUCCGGCGGAACUUAAUGAGUUGAAGGAUCAGUUGGAAGAUCUGUUAGACAAGGGCUUUAUCCGACCAAGCAUCUCACCAUGGGGUGCUCCGGUUUGUUAAGAAAAAUGAUGGUGCACUCUGAAUGUGCAUCGAUUAUUGACAGUUGAACAAGGUGACCAUUAAGAACAAAUAUCCCCUUCCAAGGAUUAAUGAUUUGUUUGACGAACUCCAAGGGGCAAGUUAUUUCUCUAAAAUUGAUCUCCGAUCGGGUUAUCACCAAUUGAGGGUGAAAGAGGAAGAUAUUCUGAAAAUGACUUUUAGAACCCGGUAUGGUCACUAUGAGUUUCUAGUAAUGCCAUUUGGAUUGACUAACGCUCCAGUGGCGUUUAUGGACUUGAUGAACUAGGUGUUUAGGCAAUACCUUGAUAUGUUUGUGAUUGUGUUUAUCGAUGACAUUUUGAUCUACUCAAGAAGUGAGGAUGAGCAUAUUGGUCAUUUGAGGAUCGUAUUGCAAAUCCUUAAGGAACAACAACUUUUUGCAAAGUUCAGCAAAUGUGAAUUUUGGCUAAGAUUGGUAGCUUUCCUUUGUCAUAUAGUGUCAAACAAAGGUAUAGAGGUAGAUCCUAAGAAGACGGAUGCGGUCAAGAGUUGGCCUAGACCUCUAUCACCUUCGGACAUUAGAAGUUACUUGGUUUUGGCCGGUUAUUAUCAAUGAUUUGUUGAAGGGCUUUCUUCUAUUGCCUCUCCAUUGACUACUUUGACUCAAAAGAAGGCUAAGUUUGUAUGGUCCGAAUCAUGUGAGAAAAGUUUUCAAGAAUUGAAAUAUAGACUUACCUCCGCUCCAGUUUUUACCUUACUGAAAGGUAUGGAUGGAUUUGUGGUAUAUUGUGAUACCUCAAGAAGUGGGUUGGGAUGUGUGCUUAUAAAAAACGGAAAGGUUAUUGCCUAUGCCUCAAGACAACUUAAGGUUUAUGAGAAGAAUUAUCCGACCCAUGAUCUUGAAUUAACGGCGGUGGUAUUGCCUUAAAGAAAUGGAGGCAUUAUUUAUGUGGAGUGCAUGUAGAUGUGUUCACUAACCACAAAUGUAACACCCCGUAGUUUAGUAGACCAUCUAUGGCUAAGUUUGAGGGCUACGAGUCAAGGCUAGAAGGCAUGAGCCAAGGCAAAGGGGCAUGGGCCAAGACAAGAGCCAAGGCUGCCCAAAGCUUGCCAUGGCAUUUCCUUGGACCACGAGAGCCUUCACGGCUCGUGGUGGCCACCACGUCUUGUGGGGCCACCCGUGGUGGUGAGCUAGUGGGCCCCCAAGGCUAGCUCAAGUUGGCCUCCUCCACACGAGCCACUUCACGAAUCGUGAAGGCCUAGACGACUCAUGAGAGUGGUCGUUGUCUUGCCUUCACUAUGUGGGAGAUAAGUUAAGGUGUCAUGGCUACUGGUCAAGGGAUCACGGGCACCUUCACGGGCCGUGAUACCCUUGAUGGAUCGUGAAGGUGGCCGUAGUGCCUGGCACUAGGCUGCCUAAGGAGGGUCAUUUUGGAAAAUUCCUAAUUAGGUGGUUAUUAAGUAAGGUCGUUUUGUAAAGUCUUAGUACACCUAUAUAAGAUAUUUUAACUCUUUAAACUCACCAUUCAAGUAAUUAUUUCCCUAGACCCAAAUCAAAUCCCCAAAAGCUCUCCUCUCAAAUAUUUCUCUCUCUAAAACUUGGAGAAGAAGAUAGAGCUUGAAGCUAGGUAAAAAACAAGACUCCAUUGUUGCAAGCUUUGUAAGGCUUUAUAACAAAGGUAUGUUAGCUUAUUCAUCCAUGUAUUCUUCCAUCCAUGGAGUGCCCUAGAAAUCCCCUAAUUGUGAAGAUGAAAUCCCCAAUUCAAGUUAGGGUUCCUUCCAAUAUUGUGGGUUAUGUUGAGUAUGAAUCCAAUUAGGUGGAUAUUGAUUGUUUAUGACUGAAUUAGUAGUAAAUCAUGAUAUUAUGAUGAAAUUACAUGUUUCCUAUGGUUAACCCUAGUCUAAUUGAUGAAAUCAAGUAAUGUGGGUUUAUGCCUUGUGAAAGGGAAAUUGAGGAUUUAGAGAUGAUCUUCUCGAAUUAAUGAUAUGUAUAGUAAUUGUUCAAGAAUAGAAGCAUGUAAACAUGAAUUGAACUAGAUUGAAGAAUAUAUGAUGGAUCAUGACUAGUAAUGAUUGAGAUUGAGUUUUUAUGAUGAUUUAUGACUAGAAUCACUCAAGAAUAAUGUAUGUGAAUAGAAUACCUUGUGACCUAGGUAUGUAUGAUGAUUGGAAGAGGUAAAGCUAAUAUGAUGAAUUAUGUAUGUAAAGGCUUUGAGAGUGAAGCCUAUAUGAAAAUGGUAGACUAGUAGACAUCAUUGCUCUGGAAGGACUUUACCCACCUAAUCUACCUAAUGAAUGUAUAUUAUAGCAUGAGUUAUGUUGUUGUGUUGUGGGAAGGCUAGCCAUAUACAUACACCUAUGCAUGACCAUGGAAUGUGAAAGUUCUUCUCACAUAGAAUGAUUCUAGGUUGAAAUGUUUACUCACCUAAAAUGAAUUAAGUAUGCUGAACUAGAAUAGCUUGAAGUUUUGACCUAGAUCCCUUCAUGAAUAGCUUGACUUGGUAAGAUAAGACCAUGCUUGGUAGCUUGAGUUAGGGUAGCUUGUACUAGCAUCAUAGUAUGCUUUCAUGGUAGCAUGCCUUGGUUAGGCCAAGUCCAUUUCAUGGUAUUUUAGGAUUGAGAAAUCAUACUCCUAAGGGUAGCUUGAACUAGCAUUAUAGAAUGUCUUUAUGGUAGCAUGACUUGGUUAGGCCAAGACCAUUUCAUGGUAGCUUUGGGUUGAGAAUUAUACUCUCAUAAGGGUAGCUUGUAUUAGCAUUAUGGAACGCUUGCAUGGUAGCUAGGUUGGAACACUUGUACCCUUCCUUGUAUAUCUUGGACUUUCAUGAUAGUAUGCUUCCCAUGGUAGUUUGGUUUAGCAUAAUGUAGUUAUGUUAGCAAGAUGAUUAGCUUUGUCUAGCCUAGUAGGGUGCUAUUCUUUGGUAGCCUUGAAUUGAUAAAUAGAAAUCAUUUAUGUGUAAUGACUUGCCUUGUACUAAGUAAAGAAGUAUUUUAAAUGAAUAGUGGCAAGAAGUAAAGGGGGACUAUUCCCCAACUAAUGAGUAUGUGUGAUAGCCUAAAGUGGUACUUAGUAUGGGUAGGAUUAUGGGGUCUUAUCCAUGCUUUGCGCAAGUAUAACUUGAAGCUACUUUAGAAGUGUUCUCUUAUAUGAUGUAUGUUUAGCUUGGAUUGUUUCUAUAGUUGCCUUUCAUAAUAUGUUUGACUAAAGGUGAAGAGUCCCUUGUCUAUCUGAAGAUAGCUAAGAAUGAGACCAAAGAAUGGUAAGUAUGAUUAUGAUGGUCUAAGAGUAAUACUUAGUGUGAAUGGUAUUAUGGGGUCUUAUUCAUACAUUGCACAAGUAUACUUUGCGGUUACUUAUGAGAUAGUUCUCCUAUGAGAUGAAGGUCUAAGUUGUGACCAUGUUAUUACUAUGUGGUAUCUCCUAUGCUAUUGGAUUAUGCCUUAUGUUGACUUAUGCUCAUAUUAUCUCUAUGUUAGAGAUUAUGCUUAUGACCAUGUUAUUAUCUCAUAUGCUUAUGGCGUAUGUCUUAUGUAGGCUAACACUUUUGUUAUGCUUUUAUGAUGUUAUGCUAGCAAACAUAUUUAGUACAUUUUGUACUAACGCAUACUCUUGCCUACAUUCUUAUCAAAUGUAGGGUUCGGAGAUCUUGAGUUCUAUUCUUGUGGCUAGGUUUCUAGAAGAGCAAAGGAGUUGAAGAUUUGGUGAGUCAUCAUAGCAUCGAGGAUGUGAUCACCUUCCUUAGGUCAUUCUUUUAUGUUUUAGACUUUUGUAUGGGCUGCGUCCCAAAGCUUAUUCAAGUUGUAUUGAUGGUUUGAGACAAAGUGUAAACAGACUUCCACUUGCUUUUAUUAAAGACUUCGAUUGUAUGGAAAAAGUUUUAAAACUUCCCGCAUCAUUUCUAUGUAGUUUAUGUUAUGAUAUGCCAAGUGGCUUGUGUUAGGCCUUUCGGGGUCUAGUACGCCUUGUCACACCUAGGGUGUACCCUUGGGUCGUGACAAACUUGGUAAUUAGAGCACGAGGUUUAUAAUGGUUCUAGGAUGUCUCAAAAUGACGUCUAGUAGAGUCCUGUUCAUGAGUGUGAAGCGCGCCACAUUUAUGAAUAUGAAGCUGUUAGAUUAGUAGGAAACUUCACCUCUUCAUUCUCUAAGUCGUGCUAUAGAGUUUAGUUCUAUAAGGUAUUUCUCCUAUUCUUUACCUGAUGGUCUACAAGUUAUGGCUAACAAGGGCAAAUGCUAGAAAGAAUGAGGAAGACGUGGUGGAUCAAGAUGUUCCUCCAUAAGAUCUUCCACAAGCGCCACAAGCUCCUAUUGACUCUUUGGAUAUGUCCAAUGCGGAGAUUAGGUCAGCCUUUCAAAUGUUGGCCCAGGCCAUGACGGCACAAAUGAAUAGGGAGGUGGUAGCUUCGGUGAACCCAAUAAGGGGAAUGGCUGCUUCUAGAGUGAGGGAGUUUUUUAGGAUGAACCCUCCAGAGUUUUAUGGCUCCAAGGUGGAAAAGGAUCCUAGAGAGUUUAUAGAUGAGGUUUAUAAGGUGCUUGCUAUCAUGUGGGUGACUUCGGUAGAGAAAGUAGAGCUAGCCGCUUACCAAUUGAAGGGUGUUGCUCAAGUGUGGUAUGAACAAUGGAAAGAUGCUAGGUAGGUAGAAGCGGGUCCAAUAGAUUGGGAAGUGUUCAAACUAGCAUUUCUUGAUAGGUUCUUUCCCCGAGAGUAGAGGAAAGCUAAGGUAGAAGAGUUCAUUUACCUUAAGCAAGGUAGCAUGAGUGUUAAGGAGUAUGCCUUGAAAUUCACCGAACUAUGCAAGUAUGCUCUAUCUAUGGUGUCAGAUUUGAGGGAUAUAAUGAGUAGGUUUUUUACCGGGGUGUCCGACAUAGUAGAAAAAGAAUGUCGUACGGCAAUGCUCCAUUAUGAUAUGGAUAUCUCAAGUCUCAUGGUGUAUGCCCAAUGGAGGAGUCAAAACUCAAAUAAGAGAAAUCUAGGGAGAAAAAGAGGUCUAGGAUGGAAAAUGAUAAGUCCUUUCAUGAUGGGUCUGAUGGACAUGGUCGCUCUAGGAAUCAACAAAGGUAUUCUGGACAAGGUUCUUUUAGUACUCCUAAGUAUAAGGAGGAGAGGGUGUCUAACCCUAAUCCACCCGAAAUUGGUAAUAAGGCUAUAUGGUCUACUUGUGCUAGAUGUGGAAAGAGACAUGAGGGUUGGUGUUUGGCCGAAAGAGAGGGUUGCUUUAGUUGUGGUGAGAGUGGCCACAAGAUAAAGGAAUGUCCAAAGUCAAUCUAUGAGAAGAGACGGUAAGCAAGUUGCUCCUAGUGGUUCGGAUGGGGAUUCCCAAAAGAAGAAUAGGUUCUAUGAUCUCCAAGCUAGAGAUGAUCAAGACUGACCUUAAGUGUGAAUUCCAGUAUGUUAGUAGCUUCUUAAUUGAUUGUUUAUGCUUUGUUAGAAUUUAGAUGCCUUAGUAGAAUUGAAAGAGAUGGUGUUAGAAAUCCGUUGAGGCUUGCUCCUAAGGGGGAGAUGGUGUGCCUUGAUGGUAAGUUCAUUAUGUGUUAUAUGUUGCCACGAUGUCUUCGUAUGCAAGUUCUUGAGAAAAUUAUGUUUUAGUAAGAAAACAAAUGAUCUUUUAUAAUUGUUUUCCUCAUGUUGUUGUGUGUUGUGUAAAAGUUUCCUUCAUUCUUUAUGAGAUGAAUUGUUGAACAUGUUUUAGUAUGCUUUUAUGAUUAGGUUGCAUAUGAGCUCCAUGAGAGUAUGUUGAGCAUGCCUUAGUUCGGAGAUGCUAGUUCCUCAUUGAAUAUGAGUAGAUAUUGAAUUUCAUGCAUUUUUUGGGUUGCUAGAUGUAGUUCCUACUCCCUUGUGUUUCAUCGAGUAUGUUUAGCUUGGAGUCGAAGUUUUCCUCCUUGGUUGUGUGCAUUUAGAUAUGUUGCAUGCAUGAUGGGCUGCUAGUCUAGAGUCCUUUCCUUAAGAGGUGUUUAGAAUCGUCAUUUGAGGACGAGUGUCCCCAAGAGGGAGAUAUUGUAACAUUCGGUAGUUUAGUAGACCAUCUAAGGCUAAGUUUGAGGGCUACGACUCAAGGCUAGAAGGAAUGAGCCAAGGCAAAGGGGCAAGGGCCAAGGCAAGAACCAAGGCUGCCCCAAGCUUGCCAUGGCACUGCCUUGGACCACGAGAGCCUUCACGGCUCGGGGUAGCCACCAAGGCUUGUGGGGUAAUCCGUGGUGGUGAGGUAGUGUGCCUCCAAGGCUAGCCCAAGUUGGCCUCCUCCACACGAGCCACUUCACGGAUCGUGAAGCCUAAACGGCUCGUGGGAGUGGCUGUGGUCUUGCCUUCACCAUGUGGGGGUUAAGUUAAGGCGCCAUGGCUAUUGGUCAAGGGACCACGUUCACCUUCACGGGCUGUGGUACCCUUGACGAAUUGUGAAGGUGGCCGUAGUGCCUGGCACUAGGCUGCCUAGGAGGGUCAUUUUGGGAAAUUCCUAAUUAGGUGGUUAUUAAGUGAGGUUGUUUUGUAUUGUCUUAGUACACAUAUAUAAGCUAUUUUAAACCUUUAAACUCACCAGUCAAGUCAUUAUUUCCCUAAACCCAAAUCAAAUCCCCAAAAGCUCUCCUCUCAAAUAUUUCUCUCUUUAAAACUUGAAGAAGAAGUUAGAGCUUGAAGUUAGGUUAAGAAAAAGACUCCAUUGUUGCAAUAUUUGUAAGGCUUUAUAACCAAGGUAUUUUAGCUUAUUCAUCCAUGGAUUCUUCCAUCCAUGGAGUCCCCUAGAAAUCUCCCAAUUGUGAAGAUGAAAUCCCCAAUUCAAGUUAGGGUUCCUUCCAAUAUUGUUUGGUUAUGUUGAGUAUGAAUCCAAUUAAGUGGAUAUUGAUUGUUUAUGAUUGAAUAAGUUUCCUAUGGUUAACCCUAGUCUAAUUGAUGAAAUCAAGUAAUGUUGGUUUAUGUCUUGUGAAAGGGAAAUUGAGGAUUUAUAGAUGAUCUUCCAGAAUUAAUGAUAUGUAUAGUAAUUGUUCAAGAAUAGAAGCAUGUAAACAUAAAUUGAACUAUAUUGAAGAAUAUAUGAUGGAUCAUAUCUAGUAAUGAUUAAGAUUGAGUCUUUAUGAUGAUUUAUGACUAGAAUCACUCAAGAAUGAAGUAUGUGAAUAGAAUACCUUGUGACCUAGGUAUGUAUGAUGAUUGGAAGAGGUAAAGCUUUGAGAGUAAAGAUAAUAUGAUGAAUUAUGUAUGUAAAGGCUUUGAGAGUGAAACCUACAUGAAAAUGGUAGACUAGUAGACAUCAUUAUUGUGGAAGGACUUUACCCACCUAAUCUACCUAAUGAAUGUAUAUGAUAGCAUGAGUUAUGUUGUUGUGUUGUGGGAAGGCUAUCCUUAUACACACACCUAUGCAUGACCAUGGAAUGUGAAAGUUCUUCUCACAUAGAAUGAUUCUAGGUUGAAAGUUUUACUCACCUAAAAUGAAUCAAGUAUGUAGGACUAGAAUAGCUUGAAGUUGUGACCUAGAUCCCUUCAUGAAUAUCUUGACUUGGUAAUAUAAGACUAUGCUUGGUAGCUUGAGUUAGGAGUUUUCAUGGUAGCCUUGGAUUGAGGAAUUACACUCUCCUAAGGGUAGCUUGUACUAGCAUCAUAGUAUGCUUUCAUGGGAGCAUGACUUGGUUAGGCCAAGACCAUUUCAUGGUAGAUUAGGAUUAAGAAAUCAUACUCUCCUAAGGGUAGCUUGAACUAGCAUUAUAGAAUGCCUUCAUGGUAGCAUGACUUGGUUAGGCCAAGACCAUUUCAUGGUAUCUUAGGGUUGAGAAUUAUACUAUCCUAAAGGUAGCUUGUACUAGAAUCAUGGAAUGCUUGCAUGGUAGCUAGGUUUGAACACUUGUACCCUUCCUUGUAUAGCUUGGACUUGCAUGAUAGUAUGCUUCCCAUGGUAGUUUUGUUUAGAAUAAUUAGGGUUGUUCAUGGUUAUGGUUAUAAAACCAAAUCAAUCCACAAUCUGAACCAAACCGAUAUUUGGUUUGAUUUGGUUAGGUUAGGUUUUUAAAUUUUGGAAAACCGAUAUUAUUUGGUUUGGUUUUGGUUUUACAAAAAUUAACCAUAAAAAUAACCAAACCGAACCGAGAAGUUAUAUAUAUAAAUUUUAUAAUUAUUUAUAAAUAAAAUAUAAGUAUUUUGAUAAAUUUUAAUUAACCUAAGUCUUUAAUUUUACUAUAUUCUGAGGCCCAACACUUAAAUUUUAGCCCAACUAUUAAAACCUUAAGUCUAAAUCCUUCAAUAUUCAUUACUUUAAAGAUUACACUUUCUUUGUUCUCUAUAAAAUUUUCUAACGUAGCAUUGAAUAAUUUAAAGCUCAAGCUAAAGAAGAUGGUAAUUGAUUAGUUUUGACUCUGAAAUAUUGGUUUUUUUUAGAAGUAAUUUCUCAAUAUUUUAAGGUGUAAUUUUAUUGAAAAGUCUAUUGCUAAGUUGUUGAGAUCUCGAGAAUAUUGAACCAACUUUAUGCUAUUGAAAAUGAGUUUUUUUAGUUUCUGAAACUUGGUACAUCGGAUGAAUCACUUUGUUCAUGCAAUAACUUAUUUGUGAAUUAUUCAUCUACUAAGUAUUUGUGUCUAUCGAGAUGCAUAUGUCUUCAACAAACUUAUUACUUUCGAACCGAAAAAAAAUAAAAAAACUAACCAAACCAAACCAAACCAAACUGAUGAUAACCAAAUCAACGAUUUUUUUUUAUACGAUUUAGUUUGGUUUUAAAAAUUUAAAAAUCAAUUUAAAUUGGUUUAGUUUUGGUUUUAACUAAUAACCGAUCCGAACCGAACCAUGAACAUCCCUAAGCAUAAUGUAGUUAUGUUAGCAAGAUGAUUAGUUUGGUUUAGCCUAGUAGGGUGUUAUUCCUUGGUAGCCUUGAAUUAAUAAAUAGAAAUCAUUUAUGUGUAAUGACUUGUCGUAUACUAAGUAAAGAAGUACUUUAAAUGCAUAGUGGCAAGAAGUAAAGAGGGAUUAGUCCCCAACUAAUGAGUAUGUAUGAUAACCUAAAGUGGUACUUAGUAUGGGUAGGAUUAUGGGGUCUUAUACAUGCAUUUCAAAAGUAUAACUUGAAUCUACUUAUGAAGUGUUCUCUUAUAUGAUGUAUGUUUAGCUUGGAUUGUUGCUAUUGUUGCCUUCCAUGAUAUGUUUGACUAAAAGUGAAGAGUCCCUUGUCUAUAUGAAGAAAUCUAAGAAUGAGACCAAAGAAUGGUAAGUAUGAUUAUGAUGGCCUAAGAGUAAUACUUAGUGUGAAUGGGAUUGUGGGGUCUUAUUCAUACAUUGCACAAGUAUGCUUUGAGGUUACUAAUGAGAUAGUUCUCUUAUGAGAUGAAGGUCUAAGUAGUGACCAUGUUAUGACUAUGUGGUAUCUCCUAUGCUAUUGGAUUAUGCCUUAUGUUGACUUAUGCUCAUAUUAUCUCUAUGUUGGAGAUUAUGCUUAUGACCAUGUUAUUAUCUCAUGUGCUUAUGGCUUCUGUCUUAUGUUUGCUAACGCUUUUGUUAUGUUCUUAUGAUGUUAUGCUAGCUAAUAUAUUUAGUACAUUUUGUACUAACACAUCCUCUUGCCUACAUUCUUAUCAAAUGUAGGGUUCGGCGAUCUUGAGUUCUAUUUUGGUGGCUAGGUUUCUAGAAGAGAAAAUGAGUUGAAGAUUUGGUGAGUCCUCAUAGUAUCGAGGAUGUGAUCACCUUCCUUAGGUCAUUCUUUUAUGUUUUAGACUUUUGUAUGGGCUGCGUCGCAAAGCUUAUUCAAGUUGUAUUAGAUGGUUUGAGACAAAGUGUAAUAAUACUUCCGGUUGUUUUUAUUAAAGACUUCGAUUGUAUGGAAAAAGUUUUAAAAUUUCCAGCUUCAUUUCUAUGUACUUUAUUUUAUGAUAUGCUAAGUGGCUUGUGUUAGGCCUUUCGGGGUCUAGUACACCUUAUCACAUCUAGGGUGUACCCCUGGGUCGUGACAACAAAAGCCUCCAAUAUGUGUUCAAUCAAAAGGACUUGAAUCUUCGCCAAAGAAUGUGGCUUGAGUUAUUGAAAGAUUAUGACAUGAGUGUUCUUUAUCACCCUGGAAAGGCAAAUGUAGUAGUGGAUGCUCUUAGUAGGUUGUGUAUGGUAGUGUUGCUCAUGUGGAUGAUGAUAAAAAAGAGUUGGAAUGAGAUGUUCAUAGAUUGGCCAGAUUGGGUGUUCGAUUGGUAAACUCCGCCAAGGGUGGUGUUAUAGUCAAUAAUGGUUCUGAAUCUUCUUUUGUGAGUAAUGUGAAAGCUAAACAAUGUCUUGAUCCAAUUUUGGUUGAAUUAUAAGAAACAGUACUCAAGAAGUCUGUUGAGACUUUCUCCCAAGGGGGAGAUGGGGUACUUAGAUACCAAGGUCGAUUAUGCGUUCCAAAUGUUGAUGAGUUAAGGGAAUUUAAUGGUUCUGAAUCUUCUUUUGUGAGUAAUGUGAAAGCUAAACAAUGUCUUGAUCCAAUUUUGGUUGAAUUAUAAGAAACAGUACUCAAGAAGUCUGUUGAGACUUUCUCCCAAGGGGGAGAUGGGGUACUUAAAUACCAAGGUCGAUUAUGCGUUCCAAAUGUUGAUGAGUUAAGGGAAUUUUUUUUAGCCGAAGCCCAUAGUUCUCGAUAUUCUAUUCACCCAGGAGCCACCAAGAUGUACCGUGAUUUGUGAGAGAUCAAUUGGUGGAAUGGGAUGAAGAGGGAUAUUGCGGGAUUUGUGGCUUAGUGUCCAAAUUACCAACAAGUGAAGGUUGAGCACCAUAAACCGGGAGGUUUAUGUCAAGACAUUAGUAUUCCAACUUGGAAGUGGGAAGAUGUGAAUAUGGACUUUAUAGUAGGGUUGUCACGGACUCGACGCCAAUAUGAUUCAAUUUGGAUUAUAGUAGACCGAAUGACAAAAUCAGCCCAUUUCAUUCCCGUCAAAGUUUCUUAUGUGGCGGAAGACUUUGCCAAUUUGUAUUUGAGGGAAAUGGUAAGAUUGCAUGGUGUGCCAUUGUCCAUUAUAUCCGAUAGGGGUACUCAGUUUACUUCUCAAUUUUGGAAGUCAUUCCAAAAGAGUCUUGGCACUAAAGUGAAGCUUAGCACAACUUUUCACCCACAAACCAAUGGGUAAGCGGAGGAAUGAUCCAAACUUCAGAGGAUAUGUUGAUAGUAUGUGUUAUUGAUUUCAAGGGAAAUUGGUAUGAUCACUUGCAUUGAUCGCGUUCGCUUACAAUAACAGUUACCAUUCUAGUAUUGGUAUGGCCCCCUUUGAAGCUCUUUAUGGUAGAAGGUGUAGAUCUUCCAUAUGAUGGUUCGAGGUGGGUGAAGUUUACCUGAUUGGGUUCGAGUUAGGUCAUGAGUCUAUGGAAAAGGUUAAGCUUAUUAGAGAGAGUUUAAGGACAGCCUAAAGGCGACAAAAGUCCUAUGUCGAUGUUAGAAAGAGAGACCUUGAGUUUGAGGUUAGUGAUUGGGUCUAUUUGAAAAUCUCACCCAUGAAGGGUGUGAUGAGAUUUGGGAAGAAAGGGAAACUUAGUCCCCGUUACUUAGGCCUGUAUCUAAUCUUGAGACGUGUUGGGCAGGUUGCCUAUGAGCUUGAUUUGCCAAAUGAUUUGUCAAUGGUGCAUCCGGUAUUCCAUGUAUCUAUGCUUAAAAAGUGUGUAGUUCCCCUAAAAGGAUUGGGAGUUGAUGAAAAUCUCUCUUAUGAAGAAGUACCGGUUGAGAUUCUAGACCGGCAAGUUAAGAAAUUGAGAAACAAGGAAGUUGCUUCCAUGAAGGUAUUGUGGAGAACCACUUAGUUGAGGGUGCUACUUGGGAGGCCGAGGCUGAUAUGAAGUUCCGAUAUCCUCAUCUCUUUCCUUCUACUUUAGCUUGAGGCAAUGAACUUUCUCUUGUUUUGUUUAUGAUUGAGCCAUGUGUGAUUUAGAUGUUCCCUUGAUUUCCUUAUGUUAUCCAUGUUCAUGAAAACUUAUGUCUAGAUAGAAAAUGAGUUUGUAUGAUCGAUUUCUCAUGUUGUAGUGCAUUGAGUAUGAGUUUCCUAUAGACUCCAUGAUAUGAAUAGAUGGACAUGUUUAGAUAUGCUUUUGAGAUUGAAUUGCAUAUGAGCUCCAUAAGAUUGUGUUGAGCAUGUUUUGAGAUGGAGAAGGCAGUUCCUCUUUGAAUAUAUGAAAUCUGAAAAUUUGAUGCAUAUUGGAUUGUUAGAUGUAGUUCCUACUUCCUUAAGAUGCAUUGAGUAGAUUUGAUUCGGAGUUGAUGUUCCUCCUUAGUUGUGUACAUUUUGAUAUGUUGCAUGCAUGAUGGGCUGCUACUCUUAAGUCUUGUGCCUAGAAAUGUGCUUAGAAUCUCAUUCGAGGAUGAAUGAUCCCAAGUGGGAGAUAUUGUAACACUCCGAACCUAAACAGAGGGUUUAGCAUGGUAGGACUCCAAGGUACCACCUCACAAGGACCAACCUAGAGCCCACAAGAAAGCCCCAAGGGAAACUGCCUGAGGCAAUGAACCAUGGCCAGGACCACGCUUCGUGGGUGGGUUUACGGUCCGUGAAUGGGGCAGUUGAGGAUUGGCCAAAAGUCUCUGACCAUGAUUCACGAUUGACCAGGGCGGACCGUUGGUCCAUCCACGGUCCGUAGGUCAUGGUCUCGUGGGUAAUGUCAGUGAAAUUAUUUUAGGGACUUAAGGGUCUUUUCCAGUUUUUAUUAAAUGAAAGUGGUGUCGUUUUGCCUAAUUCUAGGACACCUAUAUAAGCAUUUUUAACCCCCAAAACCCCUCAUUCAACUCAUCCUCUCAAAUAUUCUCUCUCUAGAAGUUGGAAGAAGAAGGAAAAAAAGGAAGCUAGGUCAAGAUCAAAGCUCCAAAUUUCAAGCUUUUGAGGGCAUUAUAACCAAGGUAUGAUAGCUCUUCAUCCAUGGAGUCCCCUAGAAUUCCCCCAAUUUGAUGAAGAAUUUCUCAAUUCUAACUAGGGUUUCUUCAAUUGUAGUGGGUUAUGUUGAUUAUGGAUCCAAUUGAGUGGAUUAUGAUUGUUUAUGAUAUAAUUAGUAUAAUUACAUGUUUUUAGAAUGAAAUCACAUGUAUCCAUGCAUAUCCCACGAUUCUAACCUAGAAUUGAGAUAAUUGGGUAGAUGCCAUGAAGGGAAACUUUGUGGGUUUAGAUGUAUCCUUAUAGGAUUGAUGAAUUAUGCAUAGAACUUCUUGAUAAUGAUUCUUAGAUGAUUAUCAUGAUACCUAGGGCUUUGAGAGUAAAGCUUACAAUGUGAAUUAUUAAUUAUUGAUGUUCAAGUUGGGGAAGAGAUACUUCCUACAUGAAUUGCUAAUUAUGAAUGAAUGUGAAAGGCUUUCUCACGUGAAUGAUUCUAGGUUGAAAGGAUUACUCACCUAAAAUGAAUCUAGACUAAAAGACUAUGUAAUUGAUGAGGCUAGAGGCGAUUACCCUUGACCUCCAUAUGAAUGGAUAUGAGGUGAUUCCCCUAUUCCUUAAAAUUGAACUAGAGGUGAGUCCCCAUGUUCUUAUGAUGUUGAAUGGACAUGGAUGCAAAUACCCAUGAUCCCUAUGAAAUAAUGUGGAUGCAAGUACCCAUAUUAUAUGAUGAAUGAUGUGGGUGCGAGUACCCGCAUCAUAUGAUAAGGUUGUGGAGGUGAGUACCCGCAAUCUAAAAGUAAGUAAGGCAAGAAGUGAAUACCCAUUAUCCUUUGUGAGUUAGGCAAACAGGUGAAUCCCUAUGUCUUUAAAAGUAAGUACUAAUAAUGAGAUUAAGAUGUAAAGAAUGAAUAAAUUGGAUUGUUUCUAGAGAUGUCUUCCAUGUGGUAAGCUUGACUAGAGGUGGAUGACCCAACUCUUGACUAGGGAUGAAUAAGGUUGCUUGAGAAGUAUUCCUUUCUUAUUAUGAUAUUGAUGUAUGUGCAUGAUGUUUAUGUUGUUUAUGCUAGCUAUCAUAUUUAGUACUUGAUUGUACUAAUGCAUACUUUGCCUACAUUAUUAUCAAAUGUAGGGUCCGGUGACAUAGAUUCUCACACUCGUGGCUAGCUUCUUUGUUGAUUCAAGGAGACAAGAUUGGUGAGUCCAAAUUGUUUUCGAGGAUGGCAUCACCACUUACUUUUAUGUCUUUCCUUUAUGUUUGGGACUAUUAUAUGGGCUGUAUCCCAAGAUUUUAUUUUUCAUGUUUAGAUGGUCUGAGACAAUAUUGUUAGACUUCCGCUUCGUUUUAUAAAGACUUCGAUUGUAUUGAAAAGUUUUAAUUUUCACUCAUCUCUAUUACUUUAUGUUAUGAUAUGCUAAGUGGCUUGUAUGAGGCCUCUCGGGGUCUGAUACGCCUUGUUACAUCUAGGGGGUACCCCUGGGUCGUUACACCACGUCAUCGUGAGUGUAUUACACUCAUUUUUAUAUUUUUAAGUUGAUUGUGAAUAAAAUGUUGAAAUGGUAAUUCGAGUUGGUAUAGGUGUUCAAUAGGUACAAGCCGUAGUUGAGGUGUCCAAGUGAAAUCUGCGGACAACUUUAAGGGGUUGUUGAUGACUUAAGCCAAGCCUAUAAAUGCUCAUGUUGCAUGAGUUUAAAAAACUUGCACAUAGUGCUUUCUAAUUUAUUUUUUUCAUUUCAAAAAUUUUAAUUCUUUCAAUGCAUGGACAAAAUUGUUGAGAUCUCAACAUACUCAUCUAAUUUUCAUGUGUUUUUAAAACUAUGUACUUUUUUAUUUUAAAAAAAUCACACUUUUUUACUUUGCUUUGAUUAUUUUGCAAUCAUCUCUAAAAAAUCAAACGUAUUAGCCAGUCAACAAGACAAAAUAAAAAAUCUAAUAACUAAGAUUAAAAUAUCAACUAAGAUGAAGAUGAAAUAGUACAUAAAGUAAAACAAUAUAGAAUAAUGAGAAGUAGAAAAAGUUAAUGUCAAGUACUCCAAAUUGAGGUGGAAUGUGAUUAAGACCCAACUUGUAUUAAUAAUUAGUCCUAAAUUUUUAUGUCCUGUUACUUCAAAAUAUCAAAAGUUCAGAUAUUUAUUAUAUUUACACGAAAUAUAAACUUAAUAGUAGGAAGAACUAGAUCAAUAUUCAUAUUUUUCAAUGCAACAAUCUGGAUAGACUUUUUCUCCCAUAACGUAUAAGAUGAUUUGUAUUUCAUAAAUAAUAAAAUUAUUAAUAUGAUUAAGCUAAUAAUUUUAAAAAAAAUAUUAUAAACACUUUUCACGCGUGAGUAAUAUACAUCUCUCUCUCUUAAUAUAUAUAUAUAUAUAUAUAUAUAUAUAUAAUUGAAGAUGAAGGUUCAAGUAGUUAGUUAGGUUCACAAAGUUAGUUGAGGGUUAAUUAACUCUACUUGUCGUCAUUAUAGUCGGUUAAGUUUGUUACACAAUUCUAGAAGAUUAGAAGUAGUUAGUAACUAGUACAAUUGUAUAUAUAGGAGCUCUUUCAUUUUUUAAACACAUUUUUAAUGUGAAAUACAAAAUUUCCCAAUUCUCUCUUCUCUCUUCCUAAAUUCAUCAUGGUAUCAGAGCAUUGAAUUGAUAAUUGUUUGAUUCACUGCAAUCGAUCCUGAAAACCCCCAUUGAAGAAACAUAGAGUUUUGAUAGCUGACAAUGCCUUCUGCAAUUGAAGAAGUAGCAGCUGCAACUGUUACAAUAAAGACACUUUAAGUAAUUGAAUCAAAGAGGAAUCAUCCUCUUUACCUCCAUCCAUCGGACACUCCAGGCUGUGCUUUAACCUCGGGUCAACUCACUAGAGCAGAGAAUUAUGCAUUAUGGAGUAGAUACAUGUUAAUCACUCUUAGGGCAAAUAGUAAGAUCGGUUUUGUACUCGGAACAUGCAGAAAAAAAGAUUAUGCACCGAAAUUGGAGGAGCAAUGGGAGAAAUGCAAUGCAUUUCUGCUCGCCUGGAUUAUGAACAGAGUCUCAAAAAAAUUAUUGAGUGGAAUUGUUUAUGUUUCAGAUGCUGUAAUGGUAUGGGCAGAUCUGAAGGAGCAAUUUAAUAAAGUUGAUGGUUCAAGGACAUAUCAGCUUCACAGGGAAAUUUGCACGAUAAAUCAAGGUAACAUGUCUGUUCCAGCUUAUUUUUCGAAGUUAUGAUUGCUUUAGGAUGAAUUUGAUGCUCUUGUACCCCCUCCAGCAUGUAAUUGCGAAAGAUCUAGAAUGUAUAUGGAUCAUGUACAUUAUCUUUGAUUGUUUUCUUUUCUAAUGGGAUUGAAUGAGACGUAUGGGCAUGCACGUAGUCAAAUCUUAAUGUUGAGUCCAUUAGCAAGUGUAAGCAAGGUGUAUGCAAUCAUAAUGUCAGAUGAGAGUCAGAGAAUUACCUCGACGAUGCGUACUAGAGAAGAUAUGGUGGAUAACACAACACUGCUUGCAGGGAGAGGAACCUAUAAUUGAACUGAUGGUGAUAGGUCUGAAUCAUCCAUGAACACCGGUAGAGGAUACUAUAAUGCUAAGAAGAAGGUGAAUCAGAAUCUAUUUUGUGAUCAUUGUAAGAUGCAUCGCCACGCUCAAAAGGUGUGUUUCAAACUGGUUUGAUAUCUAGAAGACUGGAAGUUUAAAAGGAAGCCAGCAGGGUAACAUAAUGAGCAAAACUUCACAAACUCGACUAGAGGUAUCAAUGUAACUAGAGGAAGAGGCAUUGCAAAUAAUGUACAGGUUUCUAGAGAAGAUGAGACUGCAGAUGUGUUUGGACUAGUUGAGAUAGGACAGAAGUCUACACAUGAUCCUUAUGACCUUAAUUCCAUUCGAACUAACCUACAGACACUUGCUGCACAACCAAACUUUACUUCAAAGCAAUAUCAGAAGAUAGUACAACUUCUAAAUAAAGAGGAGAAGGCUGCUGAGAUGGUCAACAUGGUAGGGAAUUCCUAUGGUAAAAUUCUUUCAGCAUCCACUAGAGGGAAGGAUUAUGUGGCUAUCAUGAAUGAUAGGAAUGACACACUAAAUAGUGGAAUAAUUGGAUAGUUGACUCUGUGGAAACAUGCCACAUGACUUCUCACCUUGAUAAAUUGGAUCAUAUCAAUUCAUCUGACAGAAACAUAGGUAAGAAAGUAUAUCUUCCUAAUGGGCAAACUACUUUAGUUACUCAUUCAGGUAGUUGUGUGAUACCAGCAGCAGGGGUAUUAGAAAAUGUUUUGGUGGUACAUGAUUUCAAAUACGACUUACUUUUAAUGGCUUAGCUGACUAGACAACUCAAAUGUUCUAUCCAUUUUGAUCCUGAAUUUUGUGUUUUUCAGGACCUCUUCAAUGGAGAAGUGAAGGGAAUUGGUAAGGAGGUAUAUGGGUUGUACUACUUUUCCAGUUAAUUCUCUUCUUCAAACACAACUGCUGAUGAUGAAAAGGUGGUGUUAAUGACAAAGAUAUGUGAAUCACAAUGCAUAGUAUGGCAUAAUAGAAUGGGUCAUCCAUCUAUAAGAACUUUAAGACAAUUGUCCUUAGUUAAGAAAGAGUCAUAUGUUAAAUUGUGUGAAAAUUGUCCGGUGUGUCCUUUUGCAAAACAAACAAGGCUUCCAUUUCCUGUAAAUGUGUCGAGAAUAGGUGAUAUCUUUGAUCUUAUUCAUCUUAAUGUAUGGGAACCAUAUAGAUUUUCUACACAUAAUGGUUUUAGAAUUUUUUUUCUCACCAUUGUGGAUGACAAUUCAAGAAUGACUUGGUUGUUUCUAAUAAAAUACAAAAGUGAUGUAUUUGGUGUUCUGAAAUCCUUCUUUUCAUUGGUUCAAAUCAAUUUGAUAAAUAAGUAAGAAGAAUUAGACCUGACAAUGAAACUGAGGUUUUUAAUAGAGAUUGCAAUUCAUUAUUCUCUUAUUUGGGUAUAAUACAGGAGAGCAGUUGUCCUCAUGCCCCUCAACAAAAUAGGGUGGCAGAGAGGAAACAUAGACACAUACUUGAGGUAGCAAGAGCUUUCAGGUUUCAGGGAUCCAUUCCUAUUAGAUUUUGGGGAGAAUGUGCAGAAACAGUUGUAUACUUGAUCAACAUAAUGCCUACUGAGGUGUUACAAGGCCAAUCACCUUACGAAAUCUUUCAUAAGGUUAAAUCAUCCCUUGAUCAUUUGAGAACCAUGGGUUGUUUAUGUUAUGCCACCAAAGUUGUGAAGGUUGAUAAGUUUUCCUCUAGAGCAGAUGCCUGUGUCAUGAUAGGGUAUUCACCAACUCAAAAGGGGGUACUUGUUGUAUAAUCUGAGCCUUCAAAAAAUUUAUAAUAAACAGGGAUGUUGUCUUCAAGGAGCAUGUAUUUCCAUUCAGCAAAAUGAAAGAUAAAUACUUGCCAAAUUUUGUUCAACAGAUAGAUAAACUUGGAUAUGAAGAGCUUCAGAAAAGAGUUAUUACUGAUAAUGAAGUUCCCACAAACGAUGCACUUGAUCAUCAGAAUAUUAUGAAUGACCUGAACCAAGAUGUUGAGAAUGAUUCCUUGGUGAAUCAAGAUGUUGUCAAUGAUCCAAUUGUUAUUAAUGAUUCCUUGGUGAGUCAAGAUAUUGUACAUGAAGUCAGGCCUAGAACCUCCUCAAGAGUAUCUCAUCCACCUGUUUGGAUGAAAGAAUAUGUGACUAUUAUGACAGCCUCCAUGCACCCUCAUUCCUUAGCCAACUAUGCAUCCUAACAAUCACUUAUCUCCCACAUACCAAGCAUAUUUGAGUGGAAUAUCCACUGACACAGAACCAAGUAGUUAUGAAGAAGCAAUCAAAGACCCCAGAUGGGUAGAAGCCAUGAAGCACGAAAUUAGUUCAUUGGAAGACAAUGGUACAUGGAGAGUAAUGAAGUUUCCUCCCAGAAAGAAUGACAUAGGGUGUAAAUGAGUUUUUAAGAUCAAGUAUAAGGCAAAUGGUGAAAUUGAUAGAUAUAAAGCCAGACUUGUAGCAAAAGGCUAUAGCCAGACUGACGGAAUUGAUUAUCAGGAGACUUUAUCACCAGUGGUAAAAAUGGUGACGGUUAGGACCAUUAUUGUUGUUGCAGCAGCAGAGAACUAGAUGAUUUAUCAAAUGGAUGUUUUUAAUGUAUUCUUGCAAGGAGAUUUGGUUGAAGAAGUGUACAUGGAUUUGCCUAAGGGAUUCAAUAAAAGGGAAUGUAGGCUUUUUAAGUCAUUAUAUGGACUUAAGCAGGCUUUAAGACAAUGGAAUGCAAAGUUGACUGAUGCAUUGUCUAAAUCAGGCUACAUUCAGAGUCAUCUGGAUUAUUCCUUGUUUACAAAAAGGAAAGGCACAUCAUUGGUGAUUGUACUUGUAUAUGUAGAUGAUUUGUUAAUCACAGGGAAUGACUCCACAUUGAUACAAGAAACCAAAUAGGUUCUGCACAAACAUUUCAAAAUCAAAGAUUUAGAUGAGCUGAGAAAUUUUCUGGGAAUAGAAUUUUGCAGAUCAGAGAAGGGAAUUGUUAUGAACCAAAGGAAAUAUGCUUUAGAGUUGGUGUCUGAAGCUGUUCUAGCAGGGGGAGACCUUCAUCUAUACCUUUGGAAUGUAUCAUGAAACUUACUAGUGCAGAGUUUUUUGAUUCUGAUGCAUUAUUCACUGAUAUAGCUAAAUAUCAAAGGUUGAUUGGGAAGUUGCUCUAUCUUACUAACACCAGACCUAACAUAGGUUUUUCAGUUCAGUGUCUGAGUCAAUUUAUGCAGAAGCCUACUAUGUCUCACUAGAAUACAACUCUGAAAGUAGUGAGAUAUAUCAAGGCUGCACCAGGUCUAGGACUACUUAUGAGUGCCGAGAAACAAACAAACCUUACUAGCUUUUGUGAUGCAGAUUGGGCUGCACGCCCCAACACAAGAAGGUCAGUGACUGGAUUUUUACUGAAGCUUUGAUAUCUUGGAAAUCAAAGAAGCAGAACACAGUUUUCAGGAGUUCUGCAGAAGCAGAAUAUAGAAGUUUGGUUACAUUGACUGCUGAGGUGGUUUGACUGACUAAAUUGUUUAAUGAAUUGGGGCUGAGCUUAGAUAAACUUGUCACCAUUCAUUGUUAUAGCAAAGACAGAUUUACAGAUAGCAGCAAAUCCCGUGUUUCAUGAGAGGACGAAGCACAUAGAAAUUGAUUGCCACUUUAUCUGGGAAAUGAUGCAACAGGGCUUGAUAAGAACAAGUUAUAUCAGCACCAAGGAUCAACAGGCUGAUUUGUUGACAAAGGCACUUGGGAGAACUCAAUAUGAUUUUCUACUUUCCAAGCUAGGUGUUUUGAAUAUCUUCAGUAGACCUAGCUUGAGGGGGAGUAUUGAAGAUGAAGGUUCAAGUAGUUAGUUAGGUUCACAAAGUUAGUUAAGGGUUAAUUAAUUGUACUUGUCAUCAUUAUAGUCGGUUAAGUUUGUUACACAAUUCUAGAAGAUUAGAAGUAGUUAGCAAGUAGUUAGUAACUAGUACAAUUGUAUAUAUAGGAGCUCUUUCUUUCUGUAAUCACAGUUUUAGUAUGCAAUACAAAAUUUCUCAAUUCUCUCUUCUCUCUUCCUAAAUUCAUCAUAUAUAUAUAUAUAUAUAUAUAUAUAUUCUAUUAUUAAAGUUACCUAAGUUUCAUAAGUGGUCCCUAAAUUAUAUUUCCUUAAAUCAAAACCAGACAAUUUAUUUUUAGCACAUAAAAAUCAUUAGACACUGACCAUUGUAUUCAAAAAUCACAAUGCUAAAAAAUUUUAAACUUGUGUAUUGUUAAGGGGAAUUUCAAUCUAUCUUAAUGAUGCUAAGGGAAUUGAAAAGCUUCUUUAAUGUAUCUAGGUUGGACACAAAUACAGUAAAAUCAAAUAUCUAUGGAGCGAAUAUGACAAGCCAAUGUGUAAAUAAUAUUUGUGAGUUGACUUGGUACCAAAAAGAGGCCUUACCUUUCAGAUAGAUAUCUCUCAAGAUAGAUAUACAUAAAUAUACAUAAUUUUUUCCGAAGUUAACGGAUGCACGUGUACACAAUCUAGAAGGGUGGGUCUGCCUCUAGCGAUGGGUGGAUCAUGUCUACGUGACACCCCAGAAAUUUUUUCGAACUAAGACUUGAACCAUCCUUCGUUGUGAGUAGGAUUUUUACCGAGCACGUCUCCGUCGACGUGCCUCUUUCAACGUGUUUUUUAAAAAUAAAAUUUAAAAAAUUAUUUCUUUUGUUCUUCUUUAAUUUAAUUAGUUUAUAAUUUUUUUUGAAAUAGAAUCCGUUUUAGCUAUAACUUUUAGUUUUAAAUUCAAAACUUAACGCUGAAGCGGGAAAAAAAGUAACUAACAACUUAAAUCAUGUUAAAAUUUAAUCAACUUGCUAAAUUCUACCUUUCUCUUAUUAUAUAAGAGACCGUUUGUGUUGAAGCAGACACGUCUCCGUCGACGUGCCUGCUUCAUCGUAUUUUUUUUUAAAAAAAAACUUAAAAUUUAUUUCUUUUUCUCUACUUUAAUUUAAUUAUUGUAUAAUUUUUUCGAAAUUAUGAAAUCAUUUUUAGCUAUGACUUUUAGUUUUAAAUUCAAGACUUCACGUUGAAGCAGGAUAAAAAGCAAUUAACUUAAAUCAUAUUAAAAUUUAUUCUACUUUCUAUAUUCUACCUAUGUCACAUAAAUUAAAUUAAAAAUAAAACUAAAAUAUUAGGCCCGUGCUAGCACGGGCACCUAUUUCUAGUAUAUAUAUAUAUAUAUAUAUAUAUAUAUAUAUGCGCAAGGACAAAGCCAUAAGUGUGUGAGGGCAUUUUUAUAUUAAUUUUAAUACGAUAUGUGGGACCUACAACGUGCUUUUCCUCAACCAUUUUUUUCUCGUUCCUGCUUUUCUCUUUCAUGUUUUGUUUCAUUUUCUAUCUUUUUAGUGGAGUAUCUAUUUUGAAACCAAUUUCAUUAUUACCUAAUUUUUAUUUUUGCUUAUCAUAAAAAUAAAAUUUUCUUUUGUCUUAUAUAUUUUAUUAAAUAAAAAAUAUAUUGUUUUUUUAAUAUUAUUGUAUCACUAAAUAAAUGCAUAAGAUAUUAAUAGUCAAACUUAAUAUUUUAAAACAUAAUUAAUAAAACAAAUUUAAUAAAAUAAACCUCUAACAAAAUACAAGUGAAUCUAUAUAUAAAAAGAAUUGUGAAAUACAUAUUAUUAAAUUAUAUAUUAAAUAUUUAAAUAUUAUUGGCAUAUAGAAAAUAUGAGUGUUACAACUAUAUUGUUGUUGUUGUUGUUAAUAAAAUAAACCUCUAACAAAAUACAGGUGAAUCUAUAUAUAAAAAGAAUUGUGAAAUACAUAUUAUUAAAUUAUAUAUUAAAUAUUUAAAUAUUAUUGGCAUAUAGAAAAUAUGAUUGUUGUUGUUGUUGUUAUUAUUAGGUAUUUGUCCAUAAAUUCUAAAUAUAUUUUUUGGUUGCAAUUGUUGGCAUUGAAGAUGAAGUUGUGUUGGUUAUAUAGUUUGUAAAGAAUAUUUAAAAUGAUGUUUUUUUAAUGUACUUAGGUAAAUUGUUAAAAGUAAAAAAUAGUCUAGAAAUAGAUUAUUAGAUGUUCAAGUUUUUUAAUAUAACUUCAAAUUGAAAAUAAAUUAUAUUUCAAAUUUUGAUGGCCAAACGUUGAUUUUAAAAUAAAUUGAAAUAUUAUUACGAAAAAAAUAAAUAUUUUUAUGUUCGAAUGGAUCCUAAAACUAGAAGUUGAAAAAUAUAUGAAACAUAAAGAUGAUUUUUUAAAGAAUGAUAAAUGAAAAAUAAAAGAAAAAGAAACAAAAAGAAUUUUAAUAGACAAUUUUCAAAAUAUAAAUAACCAUUCAAAUAAUUAAUUUCAAUUUUUUACGCUCACAACCUCUAAUUAUCUACAACAUGGGCUUGACACAUUUUAUAUAAAAUUAUCCAGCUCUAACUUAUAUAUUAAUCACAAAAAAUCCAUUGGAAAUUCACUAAUCGAAAAAGAACAACGGAUAAACUAAUCAGAUCGUCUAACUAAUUUGACACAGGUCUUCAGGAAGUUGAGAAUUUGGAUAGAGCAUUAGUAAUUCACAAGGACUAUCAAGGCUUACAUGGAGACAGCUUGGGAGGGCAGGAUGCUGUGGUGUUAGAUACGGUGGAGUUUGAGAAAGAGCCUCAUCUGCAUUUAGAAGAUGUUGAUAACAGAUACAGGUCAGACAAUAGUGAGGAGCUCCUUACUGGUUGCUCACCUGUCAAUCAAGAACAUAUGCACAAUGUUAGUAUGAUUAGUGCUGCUCAAAAUGCAAUAAUCAAGUUUUCAGGGGUAAUCAAACAAAGUUCUCCUAUCAAAGAACUUCAUGAUUUGGUUUCUCAUAAAAUUGUAGAUAAAGACAACACUUCAGUAGAGGUAACAAAUCAACAGCAAAAUGAUCUAGUAAUAAACAAGGAUGAAAAUGAAAACUACAGUGAUCAUGCACAGGUUGUAAAUAAUGCAGGAGGUUCCCCUCAAGGGAAAUCAAAGAAGAAGAAGACUAAAUCUCAAGGGGAUAAGCCUAUUAGGAUUAACCCUAUGAGGUCUGGUAGAGCUAUGUCAAAAUGAUCUUUAAAGCAUUAAUAUGGAAUAUUAGAUCAAUUAGAUCUAAACAUUCUUUCCAUAGAGUGCAAAUGCUUCAUAGACAUCACAAAUUUGAUUUGGUUGCCUUGAUGGAACCUUUUCAAGAGACUAGGCAGAUCCAACAGUAUAAAAGGAGACUAGGCAUGGCCUAUGCAAAUUAUAAUAUCAAUGGGAAGAUUUGGUUGUUUGUAAAGGAGGACAUUCAGGUGGAGGUUGUUUCAGAUUCUGAACAACAGUUGACUAUUAAGAUGUUAUUCCGUAGUGGAUAUCAGAUUGUUAGUACUCUUGUCUAUGCUAAGUGUACAACUGUUGAAAGAAUUCAAUUGUGGGAAGAUUUGUAUGUCAUUGGGCAAAAUAUGUAUUUCCCCUGGUGUGUUGGAGGGGAUUUUAAUAUUAUUAUGGAUGCCGAAGAAAAGAUAGGUGGUCUACCUGUCUAUCCUACUGAGGUGGAUGAUUUUGCAUUUUGUGUCAAUUCCUGUGAAUUAUUUGACAUUAAAUUCAAAGAUAGCCCUUUCACUUGGUGGAAUGGGAGGACGGAUGGUGAUUGUAUUUUUAAAAGAUUAGACAGGGUUGUAGGGAAUCAAGCAUUUUUGGAAGGGUUGGGUCAUGUGGAGUUAGAACAUCUAGCUAGGACAGGGUCAGAUCAUGCUCCUAUGUUGCUAUCUUGUGGAGUUAAAACUAUCCAGUUCCUCAAACCUUUUAGAUUCCUCAACUUUUGGUCUGAAAAGGAAGGGUUCAAAGACCUGAUUAGGCAAAAUUGGGUUGAUGAUCAUUCUGAUGAUGUGUUUGUUAAUUUAAAGCUCAAGAUGAAGAAGACUAAACUAGCUCUUUCUAAGUGGAGUAGAGAAAGUUUUGGGGAUAUUUUCAAACAAUUAGUUAUAAGGGAGGAUAUUCUGAAAAUCAAAGAAAAAUUGUUUGAGGAUGUUCCUUCUGAUGCUAAUAGAAUUAUCCUCAAUAGAGCUCAAGAAGAAUAUACAAAAUACUUGAAGUUUGAAGAGGAUUUCUGGACACAAAAGGCUGGGAUGCAAUGGUUCAUUGAAGGAGAUAGGAGCACUAAAUUCUUCCACAAUAUUGUAAGAGGAAGAAGAAGAUUAGAAAUAUCCAAAAUGCAUAAAGCUGAUGGUACAUGGGCUGAAGGAAGUGAAGUUGAGGGAGAGGCUGUAAAAUUCUUUCAAGAUCAAUUUUCCAGUGAUUUGCAGGAGUCUAGUCUACCCCUUGUGGAUUUAAUUCCCUCUUUGAUUAAGGAGGAAGAUAAUGCAAUGCUUAAUAGGAUUCCCUCUUCUGAGGAGGUUAGAAAGGUGGUCUUUGAACUUAAUGGAAAUAGUACAAGUGGACCUGAUGGUCUGACUGGACACUUCUAUCAAGUUUGCUGGGAUAUAGUAGGAGAUGAUGUUGUGAAGGUGGUACUUGCUUUUUUUGAUGGGAUGACUCUCCCUAAAUUCAUCACCCAUACCCACCUUGUGUUGAUUCCUAAGAAGGAGAAAGUGAUUUCAUUUGUUGAUCUAAGGCCUAUUAGUCUGAGAAACUUGAUUAAUAAUGUUAUUUCCAGAGUUGUUCAUGAUAGACUGGAAGUAUUCUUACCUACUCUUAUUUCUGCUAAUCAAUGUGGUUUUGUUAAAGGAAGAAGUAUUACAGAAAAUGUCCUACUUGCUCAGGAGAUUAUUGUGGAUAUCAGGAAGAAGAGUAAAACUACUAAUGUGGUGUUUAAACUUGACAUGGCUAAAGCAUAUGACAGGGUAGAUUAGAGCUUUUUGAUUAAAGUAUUGGAAAAAAUGGGCUUUAACACAGUAUUUAUUGAUAAAAUAUAGAGGCUGGUGGCCAACAAUUGGUAUUCUGUGUUGGUUAAUGGCCAAGCUUGUGGAUUUUUUCACUCAACUAGGGGUGUUAAACAAGGAGAUCCUUUAUCUCCUUCUUUAUUCAUUCUAACAGCUGAAGUCCUUACUAGGGCCCUUAAUAAUUUGUUCAGCUAUGCAGGGUAUCAAGGGUUUGGUCUUCCAAAGUGGAGUGAACAGAUUAAUCAUCUUGCCUAUGCUGAUGACACUAUCAUUUUUGCUAAGGCAGACAAAUUUUCUUUGAACUUGAUUAUGAGGACUUUACAAGAUUAUGAAUCCCAAUCUGGUAAAAAAUUCAAUAAAGAAAAGAGUGCAUAUUUUGUUUAUCACAAGGCAGCACAAAGUGACAUCCAGAUGAUAGAAGAGUGUAAUGGUUUUACCAAAGGUAAGUUCCCUCUAACUUAUCUUGGGUGCCCAAUUGGGCAUGGCAGGAAAAGGAAAACUCAAUUCUCUGAACUCAUUAAAAAGGUUCAAAACAAAAUUCAAGCUUGGAAAGGGAAGCUUCUGUCGUUUGAGGGUAAGUCUGUAUUGAUCACUAAUGUAUUACAGAGUGUUCCUAUAUAUCAGUCGUCUGCUAUCAUUCCUCCCAAAUGUGUCAUUCAUGAUCUUCAUAGAAUCUUUGCAAGAUUUCUAUGGAAUUUUAAGGAAGUAGGAAGAAAUAAACACUGGGUUUCCUGGAACAAUGUAUGCUUACCCAAAAAAGAAGGUGGUCUAGGAUUUAGAUCCUUAUUUGAUGUUUCAAGAGCUUUAUUUGCUAAACUAUGGUGGAAUUUUAGAACAAAAAAUACUAUGUGGUCCCAGUUUAUGUGGAAUAAAUACUGUAAAAGGCACAGACCACAAACAGUAGAGUGGAGAGGGGGUUCUCAAACCUGGAAAUAUAUGCUAGCUGCUAGAGAUUUUUUUGAUCAGGAAAUAUGGUGGCAACCAAAUGGUGGGCAUUCUAGUAUCAUGUUUGACAAUUGGACACAAUUAGGGGAUCUAUAUUACUACCUACCAGUGUCUAAUAAUAAUGAAUGGAUGCAUAGAGAUGUUGAUCAAUUAUUUCAUGAAGGGAGGUGGAAUGAAGAGCUCUUAAGGACCGUAUUCCCUGAGAAUGUUGUAAAUCAUAUUCUCAAUGAUAUUGAGAGAUUUCAGGAUUCAGAGGAAAGAGAUAUUCCUAGGUGGAUGUUAAACAACUCAGGGAAAUUCUCAAUGAAGUCUGCAUGGGACAAUAUCAGAAUCCCUGGAAUUGAGGAUGAUAGUUUUGCUAGGAUGUGAGAGAAGGGUGUACCUUUUAAAGUAUCUUUCUUUUUCUGGAGAUUAGCAAUGAAAAGGAUCCCUAUUGGUGAAGUCCUAGCCAGAUUUGAAACUGAGGAGGAGAUGGUGUGUUGCUGUUGUGAUCAGAUGGCUAAUGAAAGUUUUCAACACCUCUUUGUCUCCUGCCUUGCUGCUAAUCAAAUGUGGAGUAGUUUUACUAGAGCUGCUGGUGUAGAAGGUCCUUUUCUUCAGAUAAAGGACACAGUGUAUAAGUGGUGGAAUGCAACUUGUUCAGCUAAUCUUAGACCUCUAUUCAAUGCUAUACCUGGUCUAAUACUCUGGCAAAUUUGGAAAAAGAAGAAUAGAAUAAGACAUGGUGACAAAAUGAAUGUGCAAGGAAUGAUAAAUGGAAGUAAACAAGAACCUGCACAUGUUAGCUGUUUUUAGAUACCCUUGGCUGAGGAAUAUCCCUGAGGAUUGGCCAAAUUUGGUGCAUUUCUUUGAAGGAUAUAAACCAAUCUUAGUUCCUAAGGUCAUUCAUUGGAAACCUCCUAUGGAGGGGACCUAUAAAUGUAACUCAGAUGGAGUUUCUAAAGGAAAUCUUGGACAAAGUGCUGGUGGGUUUUGCAUCAGGGAUUGGAAAGGUGAAUUUAUAUUUGCUGCAACCUAUGAUCUUGGCAAAAGAACAGGUUUGCAGGCUGAAACUAGUGCCAUGGAGAAAGGUUUAAAUUAUUGUGUUACACAUAAUUUACUUCCUGUGUGUUUAGAGACGGAUUCACUGGUUUUGACCAAGAUUUUAAAUGGGGUAUUGGAGGUCCCUUGGAGCAUUAAAAUUCAGAUUCAGAAGAUUGAAUUUUUGAGAAACAAUAGGGAGGUUGCAGUGCUACAUACGCUCAGGGAAGGCAACAAAGUGGCAGACUACUUCACUAACUUUAUUUUUUCUUUUGCAGGUACAUAAAAUAAAACUUUCCAAUCAAUUCAAGAUGUACCAAAGGAAGGAAAAUCCUUAGUACUCAUGGAUGCAAAUCAGAUUCCAAACAUUUGAAUUACUAAAAUGCAAAAUAAACUCUAUGGUUUGUAGUUUCGAACUAUAAUCUUUGCACAAAAUGAAAUGCAAUUGCAGUAUAAGUCAAGCAGAGGAGAGAAAGGAAAUACCUAACAAAUAUACAUAGACUUUAGAUCCUAGCUUCUUAGACAGUGGUAUCAGUUCCCUCGGAGCUCAAUCUGUCAAGAGGCGAAGAUCUAAGGAAAAUGGUUUUCUACAAGGCACUGAUAUCUGGAGAAAGCUCCAAAGAAGAUAGAUCUGUACAGCAAUGUAAGGGCAAUGAAUAACAAUGUGAUAUUGAGAUUCUUGUUGAAUAAUCGAUAGGGAUGUGGGGGUUACCUCUCACACAGGAAAGGGACCAAUGUUUUGAGCUGAAGAAGUCUUCAACGGACAAGAAUACAUGGCGUUAGUGAGAUUUUUAACGUCUUGAUGUACUCUAUCCAAGCUCGAUGAUAUGAGUCUCUAGUUCCACAGUGAGUAAGGUCUAACUCCUAUCUCAUCAUUUGCACAAGGAUCUUUGAUGUAGGUCCACCAUAGCUGCCGGAGUCGAGAAGAGGUUGACGGAGGUCCACCAUUGAUGACGGAAGAUUUAGAGACAGUGGUGUCUUGACUAUAGGAGGGUUUUGUCUUUCCCCUUUUUAUUUGUUUUUUGUUUCCAUUUCUUGUUUCAGAUUUUGGAUUAGGCGUUUUGGGAC